ACUGAAGCGAAUAUGCAGGUGGUUGUUGGAGAACAAGGGUACCGAGCGUGACCAACGCGAGAAGUCACUUGGAUGUCUACUCACUCGUCAGUGACUUACUCAAUUGUUGCAGUAGUGUGACUGGUCCUUUGACCUGCGGUGCCUUGGCUGUUCACAAUGAGGUUACUGUAGUUUGACUGUACAUACACUUGGUCCCUAGCCAUUCGGGUCCUUGCGGUGCAUGUUGGCUGCAGUAGGUUCAUAGUAGGAAUAGGGUGCGCACUUAGAUGAAAUCUAUCUCCCUUGGUAGAUAGGGGUGUUAGUCCUAUGUGAUUUAUGAGACCGAGUUUAGAAGACCUUGGCCAGGGCAGAGUUAAUAGCGGAAAAGGGUUUCCGAUAUUAGAAACUCGAGUCGAAUAAAUUUAAUAUAUGACAGACGAUGGGGUUUGACGAGUUAUUCCAUAACUUCCGUCUAGUCGGGACUCAUGAUAGAAGAAUUGUAUCACAUGGUAACUGCACCAAGAGGUUCAGUAUUCCAUUCUACUGGAAUGCCACUACAUGCUGCUAGGCGUCACUGGUGGAUUGUGAGACUCAUGAAAAUUAUCUAGAUGAUCAAUAAUUCUUAUUGGGCUGAGUUGGAAUUGUUCUAAUCCAUUGAAAGGAGUUUCAGUGAUAUUGUUGAUAGUGAUCAAAAUAUAUCUCACUACCAGAUAGAAUAGAACCUAUGGGGUCACACACAUAAGAGGUUAUGAUUGAUCGGAUAGCUAGAUUGCGAUUAUUGAAUCGCCGGAGGACCUAAUUGUCAAUAUAUUGAUAAUUGGACUAAUUUGUAAUUGUUACAAAUUAGUGAUAUUAAAGUGCAAAUAUUACAAUAGAGAACUUACUAAUAGUUAGUAAAUUAUAAGAGGACUUAUGUGCAAAUGUUGCAUUAUUAAUUUGAUAAGAUCAAAUUAAUAUAAAAUUCAAGUCGAAUCAAAUUAGGAUUUGAUCGAUCUAACCAAUUAAGGAAAAGAUAAAUUUAAUCUAGAUUUAUACUUAUCCUUAAUUGUCAUUAUAUUAUUAGGAAUAGGAUUAUAUUCUUAUAUAUAAUAUACGGGAGUUUUUAGAAAACCCUAGCCGUCAUCUAUCAUCUCUUCUCUCUUCCAUCUUCUAGCAAGAAAGACGUCCUUUUGCAAGGGAGCUAGCACCCCGGUGAGGACAUCGAUCAAAUCAAGAAGCUCGUGUGGAUACCUAUAGAGGCCGGAUGCGUGUGCGGCUUUAAGAGAACCGAAUUCCAUAAUCAUCAAAUUGAGGCGAAGAUUUAUCCGCGAAUAAGGUAAAGAUUCGAUCUUACUUUUCUCCUUUAAUCUUAAAGAACAUGAGAGAUCCUAAUUGCGUGGUUUUUGAGAUUUAAUCUCGAGAGUUUUCAAAAAUCAAAUUUGUUUGAUUUCUUUUUCCACUGCGUUUUUACCAUACGCAAUUUUCUAACAAUACGAAGCCUCCAGAUUUUACUUAUUCGUUCAUCCCUCGUACCCCCGUCGUUCAGCCCUAAGUAGGUCGAUUUCACCGUAAAUCUACCAUCAGGAUCCCAAUGCCAAGUCACGCUAUCCGGUUCUUUGCUCUACUCUAAUCUCCGAACUCCUAUCCAUUAGUACAGAAGAGCUAGCUCUCGUACCGAGACUAGUGUUGUUGACACCUCUCAAGAUCUUGUUCCAUUUCCACCCAUCGCUCGUCGUACAACCACUAACUCGCAUGUUUUUGCAUUCUACCAUAUCAUACAAUUCUGAGAAUAGUGAUUGUAGCGUGACUUCUCCGCACCAACGGUCCGACCAAAAAUCAAUGUUACUCCCGUUUUCUAGCUUAUAUGAUACUCCCCAUUUAAAGACUUCACUCUGGCUUAGAACUUCUUUCCACCAAUAAGAGGAAGGUCUAAAGGAUUUUCCCUCUCUCAGGGAUCUUCUUCUAAUGUAAAAUAAAUCAUGAAUGAUCUUAUUCCACUGCAGCUGUGGGAUCGUAAGCAGAAUGUAUAUUUUGAGUUCAGAAAGUUGAGGUUAUAAUUUCAGACAGCAAGAUGCUGUCUACAAGAUAACUACUGCUUCUACUAAAAGCACUUCUCAUACAGUAAAAUAAAAGUUUCUAUGUGAUGUCCUAAAAUUAUAUAUAUAUAUAUAUAUAUUUUAAAAAAAAUAAAAUUACUUGUAAUUAAGCCUAUAUGCAUACAUAAAAGAGGAUUCAAAUUCAUAAUCUGUUAUCCAAAAAAAAAAGAUAUUAAAUAACUGUUCUAAAUACGACGCUGUUCUGAACUUUUCUCGUUGGUAGCUUUAUCUUCUCCUACAAUUCUAUGCAUAUGAAUGUUUCAUAACUUAUAUUAUACUUCAAGGACAAUGGAAACAAAGCUUAUAUCAACUGGAAAAGCUGGAAUUGAGCUGGGUGAGGGUUGUGCAGCAACCUGUAAUUAAUGGUUGGAUUAAGAAUCUUGUGGACAACUUUGCUUUGUGUGAGUGUGAGAUGUAACAGUCUAGAGUUGACUCUGUGCAUUAUCACAGGGGAAAUAUAUAAAAUGUUAAUAUAUUUCUAGACACCACUCUUAUCGAAUGGAUAAACUGCUUAUUUAAAAAAUAGAUAUAAGUUCAUAUAUUAAAAAAAAUUAGACCAAUUUUAUAUUUGAAAAAAAAAAUUGGUUCUUUUUUUUUUCUACCAGUUGGGAAGUCCAACGUUUGGCGUGAACUGUUUUAGGAGCAUAAUGAGACUCUGCCCUAAACUCUUCGGGCAAAAUAACCGUUCUUAUUCUUACUAUGUUAGCUAUUCAUAUCGGCAGUACCUAGUGCAUGCCUUUUGCCUCCGAAAUCUGAUUCAAAUCCAAUAUAGCACCUACGGUACGGGUACAUAAGAAAUGUAUCGAAUCGAUUCUUUUUAAUGAAUAGAUCCGAUCACAACUUCGAAUAUGGAAUUCAAAAAGUCAGGUUUCUUGAAAGCCGAGGCCUGAAUCACCUUGCAUUUCUCUAGUUAACCUGUCGCGGGAUAAGAAGGUCCCUGACGUUCAAAACCUUUCUCCCAAAGCUUUUUCUAAUUCGACUUUUGGCAGGCCAUGAUGCAGAUAAAAGCUUGUGCGUUCUCUCCUUGGAUUGCUCUUGAGAAUAAAGUAAAUAGUGUUUAGAUUGUUAAAUUGGAACAAGAAGAAUAAAAAUCAUAAUAUUAAAUUAAUAUUAUUUUAUCUCAUUAAUUAACAUCAAAAUAUUAAUUAAAAAUAAUUUAAUAAAUUAAUAAAUUCGUUAGCUAUGAAUAUUGCAUAAGAUAAUAAAAAUAUACUAAUUAAUUAAUUAAUUAUAAAAAUAAUUUAACUUUCUAAUUAAUUACUAAAUUAUUGUCGUUAGAUAACUAGCAAAAAAAUUAAUUAGAUUAAUAAAAAUAUUAAUGAUUGAUCAAUAUAAAUAAUAAUUUAUGGAUAAACACAUUAAAUUAUUAAUAAAUAAUUAUAAGUAAUAAAUUAAUUAACUACUUUAUUAUUUAAGUAAUGGAUAAUAAUUUAAAUAUAUUAAUUAGAUUCAUUAAUGAUUUAAUAUCAAAACUAAAAUUAAAUUCAAGACUUUAAUUAAUCUUGUUUCCACUUGGGAACAAACUUGUUCUAGAGAAAAGGGUGGAACGACAGUUCCAAACUUAUACCAGAUUAUACCAGUUUAUUCUAGAGAUCCAAAAACUACCAGAUUAUACCAGUUUAUUCUAGAGAUCCAAAAACUACUAUUCUCGAGUACAAAAAUUUACGUUUUAGAACAAAGGGCGGAACAAGGGCUCAUUCCCCCUUGUUCCCAAAUCAAACGCUUUCCUAGACAAUAUAAUGUCAGAGUUAAUUCUAAAUUUGCUUGUUCUAUAAAAUUGUGGAUUCAAUUCUUAUUUUUGAUAUUUAACGAAUUUGUAUGUGAGCGAGGGUUCCAACAUAUAUUUCUAAGCUCGUUUCCUAUCAGAUCGAUCUUUUGAGUAGUAGAAAAUAUAUAUUUAGCCGUUUCGAAAUAGGGCCCUCAAUUUGUAACUUUUGUUUAUCAUUUAGAGUUGAGAUAGUUUUCUAAAAAAUAACUGAAGUCAAUAAGACUAGUAAAAUUAUCAACAAAUUUGAUCAAAGCAUAUUCAAUUUACUUGACUAGAAUCAUUGUUAUUUGACUCUGAUCUGUUCUCAAAAUGUCGAGGUAUUCCGAAUUAUCACCCUCACCAUCCUUUUGUGCCAAAAAAGUUCCAUGCAUUUUUACCGAAACCAUACUUUGUUUCAACUUUAGUAGAAAGGGAAAGAUGCGACCACUACUUAUUAAAAAUAAAUAGCAUAUUUGAUCCACAACCUAUAAGAAAGCUAACAUAACAUUUUAAAUCUCAAAAUUUAAUUUAUUAUAAUUUUAAUUCGAACUUUAAAAAUUAUUGUAUUAAAAUCCUACACUCCAAUUUACUUGACUAAAUAUUACCAUAUUAUUCUUUCAGAACACUUCUAUAUUUGUAAUUUGAUAAAAUUUCACCCAUUAAAUUAGACUCUAGAACUAAAUUACAAUAAUUACAAAAAUACAAACUAAAAAGGAUAAUAAAUUUAAAUUUAAAGACGCUUGACUUAUAGUUUGAGAAUCAAAAGCACAAUUUAUCCAAUCAUAUAUGGCCACCAAAGAUAUCGUCCCCGAGUCGACGGUUGAGUUUGACCUUUUUCUUUUUUUUUUUUAAGUCCGUGAUAAGCUACCGAACAUAUUCCAAUUCAUUUUUUUUUAAAAAAUGAAGGUUUGUUUUUGAAAACGUCCUAUAUUUUAGAUUUAUGAUUUAAGUUGUGAUUUAUAAUUUGGUUGUGACAUGCUAGCACUUGCAAGGAUUUUGGUCAAACCCGUGAUGGCAACAGAUGUCAACGGUCGGAGGACCGCAACAUGUUUUCUCUGACUCAUUUGCUGUGCUUGUUUGAUUUGUGUAGAUACCCCUACUUUUUCAAUGUUUCUAAGUACUACUUGUUGGGAAAAGAAUCCAAUAGAGUACUGAAGCGAUAACACGCCUGCGAUAAUAAUAUAACACAAAAAAAUUAUACCAACUGUCCCUAGAGCAAGUGAUAAAAAAUUUGAUGGUUGGUACCCGAGAUCCAAGUUCGAAUCCUAGUUGAUUCACAUUUCCAACUAAGUUUAUUUCUAAAUAAAAUAAACGAAGCGGACAGCGUGCUACCUAUCUCUCUCAAAAAAAAAAAAUUAUAGCAAUUUGUAUAAUUAAAAAAUGGCUAAAUUACAGAAAACUCUCCUGUAAUAACCCGCUUUUUCACUUUCCCCCCCUGACAUUUAAAAACCUACACUUUGCCCCCUUGUAAAAUGAAAAAUGUUCACAGGGAGGUCACGGUGUGUAAAAUGACCAUUUUGCCCCUUGCCAUUGUUGUCUUCUUCCUGAGCUUCCUCAGCCGCCCCUUCGAUCCGCCGCUAUUUCUACCUCAAUCGGCCACGAUUCCUCUCCAAUUUCUUCUCCACCUGCUCCCCUUCUCCUCCUACACCAUCGUCGCCCAUCGAUUUUGGCGACAGUAGGGAGGAUACUAAGAUGGGUGUUGAUGGAGAGGUAGGCAGGGACAACGAAGGCGAAGGCGAGGUGGCGGAGGAGGACGAAAGGGAUGUGGGCGAGGGCGAAGCAGUGGAGGACGGCGAGGCGGCGAGCCGGCGAGCCGGAGGGAGCGAAGCAUCAGAGAAGAGGCAGAGGGGUAUUUUCGGUAUAAAAAAAUAUUUUUUAACAGAACCCCUAACGGAACCCUAACGGUAGGGGUGAAGUGCACAUUUUUUAUUUUACAAGGGGGCAAAGUGUAGGUUUUUAAAUAUCAGGGGGGAAAGUAAAAAAGCGGGUUAUUACAGGGGGGUUUUCUGUAAUUUAGCCUUAAAAAAUUUAUGUAAUUUGACCGAAACCUACGCCCACACAGAACCUACUAUAUCUAGCACAAGUAAUAAAAAAAACUUAGUGGUUAAUACCCAAAAUUUAAAAUUUGAAUCCUAAUUAAUUCAUAUUUUCAGCUAAAUUUAUUUCUAAAUAAAAUAAACGAAACGAGUACCAUGCUACCUAUUUAUCAAAAAAAAAAUUUCUUAACUCCCAAAAAUAUUAAUAUAAAAAAAAAACCUCUCCAAAAGAACACUUAUUGAAAGUGGAGAGGAGAAAAAUUGAUUUCGCCAUAAACAAUCAUUUCUGUUGUUUGAUCCGCCGUAAAUAAGUUACGAUUAAAAUUCGAGUUAACAUAAAAUGACAUAUGGCAUAAGCCGAAAGUCAAUUACAGUGAAAAAAAAUAUAAAAAAAUAAAAUAAUAUACUAAAUAAAAUAAUUAUAUUUUAAUAUAUUUAAUUAUGAUAUUAAUUAUUUUUUUAUUUCGUUGACAUAUUUAAAAUAGGCCAAUUUGCAUAAAAAAUUCACUUAUUUUGGGCUUUUGCAAAUUCGGGCCACCUUUUUCGUUUUUGCAGAUUCGGUCCGCUUUUUCGUCCGCCAGACCAAAUGCCCCUCGUAUACAAAAGCCGCCCGCGUAUUUCUCGACAUACGUAUACUACCCUGUCCUACGGUCUGGCGCGCAUUAAAUACGCCGUUUCCGCCUUACGCAAUCUCGCUCAUUUCUCGGAACCUGGACCACAUCCGCCCCUCUAUUCGCUGGCCCUGCUGUUUGCUGUUCGGCUUUAAGACUUUAAUACAAUUUCUAAAGAUAAAUGACAAAAACUGCACUACCCGCAACAGAGAUAAUAGUGAAACGCAAAGUAGCAACGCCAGAAAAAAUGGUGCAACUGCCCUUCUAACAGUGCAACUGCGCUUCGACGCUGCGCUUCCUCUUGCGAGGAAUGCCCUUGUCGAUUCACCUCCUUCACCAAAGGUAGUGUCUCCGUAAAGGGGAAUGCAUCUGAAGAACCCAUAUUUAAACAAAACGAAUCGUCCGCUGACCAACCCGCCGAUGCCUCUUCGCCUUACUUAACCGAAUAUAACGUACACGUCACUCUUCGUGCUUGCCACUAGCAUUAAAUGCGACAGGGAUUAACAGUGCGACGUGUACGGCGAUUAAUAGUGCAACGUAACGUAAAAGACUACAACUGUGAUUGUAAUGGUGCAAUGUGGUCGACAGAAUAAUUCAAUGGUUUUAGAAAGCGGAGGCGUCGGAGAAGAGACCGAACAACAAACACUAGGUGCGGAGUAGGAGGAGGCUCCACCACCUCUUUAUUGCUGCUGCCUCCGUGGCGCUUCACCUCCGCGCGCUAGGGAUAAUAAUGCAAGGCGAAGGUUCUACGGCAGGAGAAAUGGUGGAACAAACCUUCUAACAUGCAACCGUAGCCUCGUUCCAGUGCAACCUCUCCAUAACCAGUCAAAAUUUUACUUAUUUUAUUUCAUAAUGUAAUCUUAAGCUAAUAGUGCAAUGAAAGGACAUGGGGGCCGUCGAUAAUACCGGGGCGGAGUGGGAGGAGGCUCCACGAUGUCUUUAUCGCCGCCGCCGCCGUGUCGCUUCACCUUAGCGCGCCAGGAAUAAUAGUGCAACGCGAAGAUUCUACGGCAACAGAAAUGGUGCAACGACUAGUCUAAUAGUGCAUCCGUAGCUCAUUCCAGUACAAACUCUCCAUAACCAGUCAAAUAUUACUAAUUUUAUUUCAUAAUGUAAUGUUAAGCUAAUAGUGCAAAUGAAAGGACAUGGGGGCCGUCGAAAAUACCGGGCCGGAGUGGGAGGAGGCUCCACCACCUCUUUAUCGCCGCCGCCACCGUGUCGACUUCACUUCCGUGCGCCAGGGAUAAUAGUGCAACGCGAAGGUUUUACGGUAGGAGAAAUGAUGCAACGGCCCUUCUAACAGUGCAUCCGUAGCAUCGUUCCAGUGCAACCUCUCCAUAACCAUUCAAAAUUUUACUAAUUUUAUUUCAUAAUGUAAUCAUAAGCUAAUAGUGCAAAUGAAAGGGCAUGGGGGUCGUCGAAAAUACCGGGGCGGAGUGGGAGGAGGCUCUACCACCUCUUUAUCGCCGCCGCAGCCGUGUUGCUUCACCUCCGCGCGCCAGGUAUAAUAGUGCAACGCGAAGGUUCUACGGCAGGAUAAUGGUGCAACGACUAGUUUAACAGUGCAUCCGUAGCCUCGUUCCAGUGCAACAUUUCAAUAACCAAUCAAAAUUUUACAUUAGGAAGAUUUCAUGCACUCUUUUACCGCAUUUUGUAUUAUCGUUAAAAUCAAUGAAUAUUUUUAUACUAUAUUAAUAAAGAGAUCCCUUUCUUUACAUUGUUACGUCGUGGAUCUAAAUACAUCUGUAUAAUUCAUUAUUUUGUUGCACCGCGUUGAGCAUUUUUGCACUAUUACAGUCGAUUUUGCACUAUUACUUUCGUCCCAAUAUGCCAUUCUUUGUCUGUUUAACACGAUUAAAAAGUGCAACGCAUUGUAAACGAGCUCAACCAUGUUCGUUUUAGUACAAUAAUAUCAUAGUAAUCGUUCAAUGGUUUAAAGUAAUGGUGCAACGACUCGAACCUUUUUUACAGUGCAACAUUUCCCGAGGAAACUUCGUUGUGUCCGCCGGUGUCCCUUCGCCUCACUUACCGGCCACCGCCAUUUUCGCUCACCCACUCGAGUAUAAAGUUCACAUCAAUGUACUUACUCUGUCGCAAUAUUUAAUGCGACUGGCGUGUGAAAUGCUAUUCGCCAUUGCCGGUGUUUGCUAUUCGUUUCUCGCUGUUGUUUGUUUGUAGUGCUUACGUUUCAUGCUUUGUAUGGAUUCUUACACUGUUUCCUGAAUAGGUUGGCCCAUACUAGCAUCCCACUAACUUUCAAACUGCUGUUGCUCCCCAUUACCCUAUUCUAAACCUUCACUGCGAAGCAAACUGCCUUUCAACCCCCAUUUUUCCUAGCAACCGCAUAACUCUUUGUGACCACCAUCUUUUGCUUCGAAUCCAAUCGGUCAAGAAACGACCUAUCUAAAUCUAAGUAGCUUGUAAUGGCGUCGAAGUCGUCGCAUUCUACUGAUUCAUCGGCUUCCGACGGCCGCAAGGCACCUUCGCGGCCGGUUGCCAGCGGCCCCGCCGAUAGAUUCAUUGUGAAUUCGCGGUGUUUCGUCGGAGCGUACAGGAAGACUUACGCGUCUGUCGUGAAACCGCAUCAUCUCCCCAUUAUUCAGAGGACGGUAUUCGGUAAUAUCAUACACUUCCCCGACAUCACCUCAGAUAAGCCAAUGCUGGAGUUCAUCCUCCGACAUUUGAAGGAGGGUGUAGAAUUCGAAAUAGGCCCUCAAGUUAUACGCUUCACGGCCAAAGAGGUGGCAGUUCUUCUUGGAUUACCCCUGUCGGGCCAGGCUCUAGACCUAACCCUCAAUUUAAGGUCGGGUAUUCAGAAUCGGUUUCUUGAGGGGAAGAAGGCUGACCGCAAGAACCUGGAGGUGGUGUUGAAGGAGAUGUCAAAUAAGCAGGGCGAAGAGGACAUUAUCGACUUCAUCAAAUUACUUAUUCUUUAUUUUUUUUGCUGUAUUCUUUUUACCAAUACCAAUAAUCUCUGCCCCAAAGGACUGGUGGGGAUUGUAGAUUAUCUCCCCGCACUGUCACGGUACAAUUGGCCGGAAGCAGUAUACCGGCUUAUAAUUGACAGCCUAUGCUCCGCCGCGGCCAAAUUACAAGCUAAUUCGAAGCGGGUAGGAUACGUUCUUGGAUGCACCCCGCUUCUCCCAGUAAGUGUAUAUUGUUCAAGUAAUCGUGCAAGAUAAUUAUUAUGUGCUUUCAAUUGUUCAUGCGUGUACAGAUUUGUAGUGUAAUCGUGCAAAAAUAAUCUAUUGUAUGCUUAAAUCUAGUAACUGUGUGAACUCUAGUGUAAUAUUGUCUUUACAUUCAGGUGUGGAUAUACGAGCACACUGGAUAUAGAUGUCCCCUGCUUUUUCGUCGUGCAAUAUUUCCUCAUGUCCAGAGAUGGGAUACGAUUAGAUGGUCUCGUCGUUCGCGGGGAUCAUCGAGAGUGAAGGAGGAUUUUAACUUCACUACAUGCCGCCGCAGGCUCGACCUCUCCCCGGAGGAACUACGCCUGGUGGGUGUUGUGGCUCAAGUUCCACGGCGCCACCGCCGCUCAUGGUUAUUGCAUUUACCAUGUGUCUACCAAUCUUCUGCACGCGCCAAAGAAUACACCUGCGUGGAGAAAAUUUUGGGCAGCGGCGCGCGCAUACACUGUCGCGGAGUUCAACGAACACAUGGAGAAGAUUAAGGAGUUGAACCCCGAACAUUACAAGUAUGUAGUCAACCUUCCUCGGCAUAGGUGGGCUAUCCAUUGCUUCCUGGAAAGGCGUUAUUCAAUACUCACUUCCAACUGUCCCAAGACGAUAAACAGUGUAAUUCGACAUUUAAAGGGCCUUCCAAUUACCUACCUCGUCGAGGAAACACGAAAGAAAACAGCUUGUUAUUUUUACCAGAGGAAAAUUAAUGGGGAGAAUAUUACCAGUGUAGUAACACCCUAUGCAGAAAAGAUUUUAGGGAGCUCGAGGGAAGCGUCCCGCUUUUACACGCUGAAUCCUUCGACCGAUGUCCUCUUUCAGGUAUUAUCAUUUAUUUUGCCCCAUUUAAUCAGUAUAUUACACUACUUAUCAAUCGGUUACAUGUAGUCAUUACACUAUUUGUCCCACCCUUUGGACUGGCUUGUUGUUUUUCAGGUAAUUGCAGCCGACCGUACGGAUGUUAUGAAUCUUUCCAAAAAGAUAUGUUCCUGCAAGCGAUGGGACAUUGACGGCAUUCCAUGUAAUCACGCCAUGGUAGUAAUUUUAUUUAGGCUACGGGAUCCUUAUGAUUUUGUCGAUGACUGGUUCAAGACCUCGACUUAUCGCGCAACCUACAACGAUUGCGUCCCCCCACCAGAAGCAAAGAGCAAUGGCCUACAAUACCAAGUAACGUUGUUCCGCCGCGGCUGCCAAACGUCCGCAUACAACCGGGCAGAAGAAAGGUUUCGCGGCGAGAGUCUAUUGCUAACGGCUUAAUAAAGAAGCGGUGCCGGAAUUGCCAGAGAUAGGGGCACAACAAAAGGUCAUGCAAGAACCCUCCUGUGGCUAGAGUAAACCAGCCGUGCGCGACGAUAUCCGCGGGCGCACCGCAGGAAACAUCGAAAAAUCCAUACGUCUUAUUGUAAUAGUUCGAGGCUAAUGUUAAUAGUGUACAUAUAGAUAAUUUGAUUAAGUAAAUUUUUGUAAUAGUAUAAAAUAGAGGAUAACAGUUCAACAUAUUUAAAAAAUAGUGUAACGAGGAUCUCAAAGUAUUGACUGUUAAGUGAGGUUUCACUGGAACGAGACUACAGAUGCACUGUUAUAGUGGUCAUUGCAUCAUAUAUACUGCAGUAGAACCUUCUCGUUGCACUAAUAUCCCUCGGGCACAGAGGCGAAUUCGACACUGCGGCGGCGGCGGCUAGAGGUAGCGCAGCGGCGGAUAAAGAGGUGGUGGAGCCUCCUCCUACUCUGCCCUGCUAUUCGACGACCCCCAUUUUCUUUCAUUUGGACAAUAGCUUAAGAUUACAUUAAGAAAUAAAAUAAGUAGGUUAUGGAGAGGUUGCACUGGAACGAGUUUACGGAUGCACUGUUAGAAGGGCGGUUGCACCAUUUCUCUUGUAGCUCCUUUCUGUUGCAUUAUUAUCCCAGUUGCGUGCGUGCACUUAAUGUCAUUUAGCUUCAGAAAAUAUCUAAAAGUCUUAAAGCCGAACAGUAAACAGCGGGUACGGCGAAUAGCGGGGCGGAUGUGGUCCGUUUUUCAAAUAAUGAGCGAGGUUGCGUAAAGCGAAAGCGACGCAUUUAAUGAGCGCCAGACAGUAUAGCAUGGUUAGACCCAUUGUUUGGAAAUGAAAAUAAAAUAGUGCAACAGUCCUAAACAGUGCACCAAUUUCUUCGAAUUAUUGCACUAUUAUGUCAAUUGAUUUGCACUUUUACAUUCGUAAUUGGUGACCUUUACCAUACGUUGCGCUAUUUUUCCUUUCCACACGAACUCAUUGAAUAAAAGAGUGCAAAAAUAGUGUAAGAUUAUCCUAAAUACUUUAAGUCAUCCAAAAAUAGUGUAAGAUUUUCCUAAGUACUUUAAGUCGUCAAAAAACUCCGGACGCCGCCGGCGACCAUUCCACACCGCCGCCGAGCUAGUAGAUAUCUCGGCAUAUCGAACUCUAUCUCUAACGACGAUGUUCCUGCCCCGCCGACUCUUGGCCUGCAUUUGGAUGGGACGCCUUCUUUUGCACUAUUCAGCUUAAGAUUACAUUAAGAAAUAAAAAGAGUGAAAUUUUUAAUUUCAUGUAUAUUCAAAGCUCUCAUUGCAUCAUUUCCUCUAACCAUUAUAUUAUUAUUUCGACUUAUAUCUUCUUUAUUACUUCAGGCGUUAUGUUAUACCUCUCGAACGUACCAUCACAAAUUUAGUAGUACUCUUUUUCAAAUCAUUGCACUGAUAAAAAUAAAGUAUUGUACCCUUAUAAGCUUAGUUACACUCUUUUUCCUACUAUUGUACUGUUAUAGAGGGCGCUUGCACCAUUUCUCCUAUCGUAGCUCCUUCGCGUUGCACUAUUAUUCCUGUUGCGGAGCGCGGAGUAAUUCUCAAUAGCUUCAGAAAAUUUCGUAAAGUCUUAAAACCGAAGAGGAAAUAGCAGAGUGGGCGAAUAGCGGGGGCGGAAGUGGUCCGAGUUCUGAGUAAUGAGUGAGGGAUAAGAGGUUGCGUAAAGCGAACGCGGCGCAUUUAAUGAGCGCUAGACAGUACGGCAGCAGGGUAUACGUAUGUCGAGGAAUACGCGGUCAGCUUUUGUAUUCGAGAGGCAUUUUGGUCCGAUGGUCGAAAAAACGAACCAAAUCUACAAAAACGAAAAAGGUGGCCCGAAUUUGCAAAAACCUAAAAUAAGUGAAUUUUUUAUACAAUUUGGCCUUUAAAAUAUGAUAAAAAUUAAUUAGUUAAAUUUUACUACUUUAUUUAAUUUAUACAAUUAAAAUUAAUAAAAAUUAAUUAAUUAAGUAUUAAUAUUUUUUGUUUUAUAAUUUUAUUAUUGUAUUACUAUAAUUUAUGUAUAAAAAAAUAAUAUAAUUAUUUUAUAUUAAAUUUUAAAUAUAUAAAAAUAAAAUUAUAUAUUAUUUUUAUUUAUUAAAUUAUUUAUUAUUAAUAUAAUAUUAUAAUUUUAUACCAUAUACUUCUUACCAAAUUUUCAAACAAACAGUAAAACUAAUAAAACUUAACUUACAUAAACAUAACUAGAAAACAAACAACAAAAAAAAAUUAAUUUUUUACUUCAAUUUAAAAUUCAUUUCAACCAAAAAUUCAGUUUUCAUAAAACAAACAUGCCCUAAGCAGAGCAAACCCUUUCACUAGAUUGAAGCAUUCAACAGGUUAAGUUUAGAAGUAAAAGAUUUUUAAGCCAUAUAAGUUUUUAAGGCAUAAAAUCUUUUGGGAUAUUAGAAUUUUAAAGGUUAUACAAGGUUUUAAGAUUUUCAAAUUUUAAGAUUUUCAAAUUUUUAAAUUUUAGAGUUCAGUGGCACGAAUAUAUGAACAUCUAAUCAGCGAUUAGACGCAAAAUAAUUUUGUCAACGUUUCACAUCUAAUGAGCAAUUAGACACAAUAAUUUUAUCAGUGUUCAGAUAGUUAAAAAUAUUAAUUACAAUUAGCUAACACCAAACAUAUUAAUUAAUUUUACCACUGCCAUGGAGAGGAGAGUAAAUUUUGCAAGAUAACAACAAAUAUUGACAAUUUUGUGAUAUUUAUAAAAUUUUGAGAGACCUAAUUUGGAUGAAUAAAAGAUAAAAAUUUUAGAAUUAAAAUGAAUAUCUGUAAAAAUUAUAUGGUUUAAGCUAUAAUUUUCGUUGUUUAAGGUUAAAAGCCCAAANCUUCUCGUCCGUGAUGGAGUUGUUGCGAUGAUCUUUGCGGAGGAAUGGUUGGAUUACAAUUUUUUUUGUCCUUCCAAUUUUUUCAACUGGAGUUUCUGAUUUAGUAGGGCUUUUUUUUAAAAUUUUUCUAGUGUUGAAGUAAUAUUAUUUUUAUUAGGAUAUAUCCUAUAUUUGAUAAAAUUCAUUUCUUUUUAUUUAAUUGAAAUUAUAUAUUUAAGCUUUCAUUCUUAUUUCCAUUAAAUUUAAUUACUCCAUAAAUUAAAAGUUCAUCAAAUUCAAACCUAACAUAGCCAAAACGAAUAAAAGCUUAAAUAUAUAAUUUCAAUUAAAUAAAAAGAAAUGAAUUUUAUCAAAUAUAGGAUAUAUCCUAAUAAAAAUAAUAUUACUUCAACACUAGAAAAAUUUUAAAAAAAAGCCCUACUAAAUCAGAAACUCCAGUUGAAAAAAUUGGAAGGACAAAAAAAAUUGUAAUCCAACCAUUCCUCCGCAAAGAUCAUCGCAACAACUCCAUCACGGACGAGAAGGGUGGAAUCGGAAAUGAAAUUUCCGAUCCCUCUCGCAAACGUAGAAAUUGCCUCAAAACAUUGAGAAAAAAGGUUUUGGGACAGAGUGCGUUUGCAAAUUUGCACAAAUUUGUGUAGCAGAUUGAAAAAGAAUCCGAAUUUUACAAAAAAUCGACAGAAAUUGAGAAAAAUCCCCCAAAAAACCUCCCAAAAAUCGGUGGAAAUUAGGAUCGAAACAAAUAGAAAUGAGUAAAAACCUACUACUUCAAAAAAAAAAAAUGUACCAGCUAAGAAGGACCCGGAAAAUCACGGAGUGGAUUCAGAUCCAGGCGAGUCUCGCUGGGAUCGAUCGAUCUCGCAAGUGAAAAAAAUGGAUUGUUUGGAUCGGAUUGGGUUUCGAGAUCCAAACAAGAAGCUGAUCUUGCUGAAUACUUGAUCAAUUAAUCAACAAAUAGAGAAAAAAAAAAAAAAAGAAAAAAAGAGAUGGGAUUAGGGUUUUAGCGUCGUACGUAGAGCGGAGGGGCUACAGGGACGAAGAGAAGGAGAAAAAGGGGGGGUAUUUAUAGGAGCGGGGUUUAGGGUUUUUUGAGUCGGUGGGGAUUUGAAUUGACUUUCCGAAAAUGCCCCUACGAGUCCAAUCGGAUUUUAUGACCAGUGGGUUUCAUCGACCGGGUUCAAACUCUAUAAUUACGUUUUUUUCAUUUUAAUUACACAAAUUUAAAAUUAUAUUUUUUUAAUUUUUUUUUAAAAAAAAUUCAUCUAAAGUCAAGUCCAACCGGAUCCAGAUCCGGGCACCUUAUUCCCAAUGGGUCCGGAUCCGGAUCCAAUAGAGACCCGAAAUGAGGGUUUGAGUUUGAUCUACACAUAAUGAAUAUUUAUUUAUUGAACUUAAUAGCUGUCCAAAUCAAUUUUGAUUUAUGUUUGAUCAAAAAAAUUUGACUUAUCGGAUUUAAAAGUUGAACCGAAUGGCUUUCUACACUGAGUUGGAUAUUCAUUUUAACGUUGUGAACCCGGUGCGCGUAACUUUUAUAUCGUGUACAAAAUAAGAAAAAAAAGUGUUUUCAAGAUACACUUCGUAUUCGUAUCGUAUUUUUUUUUAUAUACUGUCUGUUUGUUUCAACCUAAGUAGACUUUAAGUUGAAGUGGAUUUUGAAUUGAAAUAAAGUUCAGGUGAAAAAUAUUUCAACUCGACUAUUAGUUUUUAACUGUGGAAGUAAAGUUCUACUAAUUUUGCUAUUUAUUGGUAGAAAGUGAAUGACGUAAAUAGUGCAGUUCUUUAUUUUUUCUGUUUAUUUCACCGAAAAUUAUUCAUUUUCCUCACCAUAGUAAACUUACCUCCUAGAUAAUAUUAUUAUCUCUCUUCUAAUUUAAUAAAUAAUAAAUUAUAAUAAAUAAAAAAUAAUGUAAAUAUAUGUCUAUACAAUUAUAAAAUAAAAUUUAAAAUAAUUAUAUUAAUUUUUUGUAUAUAAAUUAUAAUAAUGCAAUAAAAAAAUUCUAAAGUCAAAUAAUUAUUAACAUUUAACAUAUUAAUUUUCAUCUUUUUUUAAUAUAUAAAUUAAAUAAAAAAUAUAUUAAAACUUAACUAACCCAAUUUCAUCAUAUGUGAUACAUACAAUUUAAAGAAAAAAUUAUUUACUUUCACAAUUAAAUAUAUUUCGAUGAAAUAUGACUAGCAUUAUUCAAGAAUAUCACCCCAUGAAAGAAUAAUCCUAAAUAUUACUGUAAUUAAGUUUUCAUCUUUUUUUUGUUUACUUCAUCGAAAUUGAGUUCCUCCUAUGAAAAUGCAAAAUCAAUUUUAAUAUUUCGAAUGAACUGAGCUUUCGAGUAUAAUAAUAAUACGAUGAAUCCAACAGUAAAAAUGAUUAGUUUUUGCCGAAAAUUAUUUUUUUUUCUCUUCACUUACGGUGAAACAAACGUGUCCACCCUUAGCUGUGUUGGAUAAAAAAAAGGAAAAACUUCAAAAAACCCUUCUGUGGUUUUACACUUUUUCAUUUUAAUAUCCUGUAGUUUAAAGUGUAUCAAGUUAGUACGCAGUGGUUUCUCACUUUAUCACUUUAGUACCCUGUGGUUUAAAGUGUAUCAAGUUAAUACCUUGUGCUUUCCCACUUUAUCACUUUAGUACCCUGUGAUUUAAAGUGUAUCAAAUUAGUACUCUAUGAUUUUAUUUUUAUAUCAAGCUAGUAUCCUGUAGUUUUAUAUUUGUAUCAAGUUACUAUCUUGUGGUUUUUAAACCACUAGGUACUAAAGUGAUAAAGUGCGAAAUCAUAGGGUACUAAAGUGAUAAAGUGCGAAACUACAGGGUACUAACUUGAUAUACUUUAAACCACAGGGUACUAAAGUGAAAAAGUGCAAAACCAUAUUGUACUAACUUGAUGCACUUUAAACUAUAGGGUACUAACGUGAGAAAAAGUGAAACCACGUGGGGGUAUUUGAAGUUUUCCCUAAAAAAAAAAAAAGUAAAACACGCCCACGAUCAUAUAGACCCGGCGCAUAUCGAACGCUCCUCCCGCAAAACCCUAAUAAAUCUUCAGUUUCACAAUUAACUCCGCUCAAUUCCCCCAUUUUCUCCAAUUUCUCCUCCAAAUUCUCGAAGAUUUAGAGCCAUGGAAAGUCGCAUAGUACUGGACGAGAGUAAAUUUGAGCAGAAGCUUCAGCUAUGGGCGCUUCGGAUCCCACGCGAGCUCUCCAGCUCCGUCACUCGCCUCCUUCAUGGGUAUUGCAUCGAUUAAACGCACGUAUAUUAUGAUUCUCGCGAGAUUAAGUUGUAAAUAUUGUUGAUUCGAUUCGUUGCUUUGUGCCCCUUUUUAUGCGAUUGAGUGGAGUUUUUUUGGUUGUGUGGGAGGGAAUUGAAAAGAUCAAUCAGAGGUGGCCAAGAUGAUUUUUUAAAAUUUUUAUUUUUGGUUAUUUAGAGGGUAGCUUAGAGGGAGUUGGAUUAUUAAAAUGUAUAGAUUUGAUGUAGGAAAUUCACACUGUAAGGCAAUGUAGCUUGUUCAUGAAACAAUUUAGGAAUUUGAUAUUGUGAUUUUUUUUUUUUAACCUUUUGGGACUAUAUGCUUAUUUGAUCCAACGCGAGCUUCUGCGAAAGUGAUGUUUGAUAGUCACUAAAGUACACCUAACGGAUUUUCACCGUAGCAGAAGCAAAGGUUCAAAUUAAAGCUUUUGCAAAAGUGAUGUUUAAUUGUCAUUAAAAUCCACCUCAAAAGUUUUUGCUUUAGCAGAAGUAGAGACUUCAAAUUAGAACUUCUACAAAAGUGAUGCUUGAUUGUUAUUACAAUCCAUGGAAGCAAUUUCACUGUAGCAGAGGCGAAGCUUUCAAGUAAGAGUUUUUGCAGAAGUGAUGUUUGAUUGUCUUUAAAAUCCGCCUAACAAGUUUUCACUAUAUAUGAAAUAGAUGCUUCAAAUUAGAGCUUUUAAUUGUGGGCCCUUCCGCUUCCUGCGAUAAAAUUUUAGGGCAAAACUUUAUUAGGCUUAAUGGGGCUGUUCAUCGCGCUCGAUGGAUAAGGUUGCCGCCCCACCAGAGAUAAAUUUUUGAAGAUUUUCAUCCUCAAUCUCCGACUCAAAUCUCCUAUUAGCUCUUUAAUAUUCUAUGUCUUCUUGUUCGACUAGUUUGUGAAAAUUGUUAAUUUGCAUUUCAUUUUCUAGCUGCUUGCUAGAUAAGCCUCGUAUCAAACCCAUAACUGAAGAUCCGGACUGUGAGAAAAAUCGCCUCGCCGUAUUAUCUGAAAGGAUCCAAAACCCUGGUAAGUAAUAUAUUAAUGUCUUUGGCUUGAAUUUCUCGAUAUUCAGAAAGUUCUACCAAUACUAUAAGACAUCUUAUCCACCAUUGUUUCAUCAUUUCUUAAUAAGUGAAAUAAUUUUGGACCCAGUGUGCCCGCUUUAAGUUGCUCCAUCAUUGUACUUACCACACUGGUACAACCAGGUAACUUAGUAAUAUUCAAGCAAUUUUUGGACAAUGAUAUCAUGAUCAAAUUGCCAUCUGAUUUCCCCGAAACUAUACAUAACAAAUAUUUAGGUAAUUGUGCUUUAUUCAUGCCUUUAUGUGCUAAGAAUUUAUUAAAUAAGAGAGCCUUAACAUGAAAAACCUGAUUGUGCUUUCUAACUUCUUCUCUACCCUUCCAUAGUGGCUGUCAUAUUGUGUUUACUGGUUGUUUCUAUCAUUAAGGGGGGAAAAAAGAUAAAAAAAGUUGGAUUGAAUUUUUGAUUGGAGAUAAAUAUAGUAUUGAUUCUUUUCUUUCUCAUGAUUCGUAAUGCAUGAUAUUUACGCUCUUCUUUUGUUUUUAUUUGUUACUGGUGAUUAAUUCCUGUAAAUUGAAUAGAUUUAUCUGAGAUCCCUGAUGAAAAGCUGGAUUCACUGAAGAAGUUGUGCAAUUUCGAAGCAGUUCCCUAUUCAUUGACACUUGGGUACUCUUACUGGAGUGCAGGUUGAUCUUACACUUCUUGUAGCUCAGUUACUUUAGAUGACUGUUACUAUAAGUACCCUUCUGGAUAGUCCUUUAGUUUCUUCGCUAUAAAUGACUGUGGCUAUAAAAUAAAAAGAAAUGAGAAGGGUGCACUUAGACAUGGUCAAAAUAAUUUUCGCUGGGGCUUUUUUUUUUUUUUUCUGUUUUUUAAAGUCUUCCUGAUUUAAUAAGUCUAUAUGGGCUUUUAGAGGCUUGUUGAGGAGAAAAUGUUAUAAACAAUUCAAACUAAACAGCUUAUUUUGUCAUGCUUUCUUGGUAGCCUUGGUGAUGGACCUCUGCUCAGCUAUCACAAUGUGCUUUAUCAUAUUUUGCUGUUUUGAAUACCGAGUUACAUUUCGGUACGAUCUGUGCUAAUAUUUGCAUUCAUGCAUGUUUAGUUCCUAUUAAAUGUAAUUUUAUAAGAUUAGGAGUCUGUUUUCCUUCUGGGAGAUGUCACAUCAUUUGUUUAUUAUGCAAAAAAGAAGAUCAUCUAAAGAAACAUUGAAGUGAGAGUUUAGCGACUAGCGUCAUAGUCCUUCAGAUGGUUUAUGUUCUAAGAAAGCAGAUACUAAACAAGGGAGUCUUAUAGUAUUAUUCCCAGGUAUUGUGUCUUUUUGUUCUUACUGUAUAUAUAUAUUUUUUUAGCUUUGAUUUGUGGAAUCUCAAACUCUUUAUGUAAUAUUAUAGCAUUUAAUGUUUUACCUCUCAUCAUCGGAUCGCUUAAGCCUUGAAGAAGUUUCCAGCUUCUUUGAUACAAGCAAAACCUUUGUUGGUUUCUUCUUUAUUACCUAUCCAAUGACAUUUCUAUUAAUGAUUGAUUUCGUCUUUUCUUUUUCUUGUUUAUAGACCAUAUUUUGAAGAAAAUUCUGCCUGCAGGAGUGGAAGUGCCUUCUUCUUUUGAAACAAUAGUUAAGUAUUCUUUAUAUUUCUUUGUUAAUUACCAUGUGCUUCUUUCAUCCUGUAUGCAUUUCUGCGUACAAUGACUGGAAAGGCACCUUUUUACCCCAUAACUUAUAUAGUGAUGUGCUUAUAUUCUUGUUCUGUAUGUCUAAGUUUCUACUAACAAAUAUAUCUUAUUGUUCACCAGGCCAUAUUGCUCAUCUAAAUAUAUCUGAUGAAUUGCUUCUUUACAAGGAUGUCAUAGCAAAGGUUAUCUAUGAUGUAUGUAUGCUUCUCUAACUUAUGAUUAAUGAUUAUCUGAUUGAUGGAUCUUAUGUAGAUUUCUUUUGCAAAUUUGAAAAUCUGUAUUUGGUUUAACAGAUUUGAGGAUUCUUAAACAAUUUGUUUUAUUAUUCCUUUUUUCAAAUCUGCACAGAAGAAUCACCCUAGAAUCCAAACAGUGGUAAAUAAAGUUGGAACUAUCACAAACGAAUUCCGAGUGCCAAAAUUUGAAAUUUUAGCAGGAAAAGAUGAUAUGGUCACUGAGGUUAAGCAGUAUGGUGCUACUUUCAGACUUAAUUAUGGUUUGGUCUACUGGAACUCGAGACUCGAGCAUGAGCACAUACGGCUGGUUUCCCUUUUCCAGAAAGGAGAUAGUAUUUGCGACAUGUUUGCUGGAAUUGGUCCCUUCUCAAUUCCAGCUGCACAGAAAGGAUGCACUGUGUAUGCAAAUGAUUUAAAUCCUGAUAGUGUCCAUUAUUUAAGAACAAAUGCAAAGAUAAAUAAGGUGGAGGACCAUGUUAUUCCAUAUAACAUGGAUGCUAGAGCAUUCAUUCGUCACUUGGUGGUACCGACUGAUUCGGAGAUGGAAGUAGAGUCUCAAUGUGCUACUAUUAGAGGAAGUAAGGGAAACACAUUACAACCUAAUGAAGAAUCAGCUAUGGAAAAAGGAACUCUAGAUGGUAUAUAUUUGUUUCCUAAAAUUUGCAAAUGGUUCACUUAUCUUUUCUUACGGUUUGGUUGUUUUUUCAUGUGGUUAUUCUAAUUAGACUUAGUACUUACUUUUGCUAGAUGCUGGAGACAGUGAAAAAUGUGUGAAUGGUUCAUCUACCAUUGCCGCUAAGAGACGAGCAGAGAUCUCCAGUGAAGGUAAGUCUGCUAAACUUCUUUGUCUUAGAAAUUCCAUUUUUUCAUAUUACUUGUUGACAAUAUUGUAUCUAAUAGAGAGAUUAAUUUCUAGAGGUGGCAAUCGCCUUAAUGGAGUGGAGAUCGAUCCAUUCCUUGUGAUGCCUACAUUUAGUAGGCUUGAAACAUAUUACAGACGCUAUCCCAAGAUCCUAGUUUUAGGAUACCUAAUUUGACUGAUAAUUUGUAGUUUCCAAGAUUGUAAAGAGCACAGAUUACUUGAAUGUUGAUAUUUGUUCUAGUGUUCUACUGAGUUGUGAAAUUAGAAUGAGUUUACUGAUCAAAGAGAGCCUAGUGAUUUUGUGGCUGAAGAGUUUCCAUGAACAAUUUAUGCUUCUAAUACUUUAACAGAUGGCGGCACUGAAAAUAAUGACUUAAAUGCAACGACCAAGAGACACAGAAACACUAACAAGAGAGUACGUGGCUGUGUACCAUCUUCUCUCAAGCCCUGGGAACAUUUUGAUCACAUGAUAAUGAAUCUUCCUGCUUCUGCUCUGCAAUUUCUUGGUAAGUUUUUGUUCCUCUUCAUAUCUUACCAAAGAUAUUUGUAGUGCACAAUAGUAUGGGAAGUUACGUGUUGUUCCCAUUUAGCUGUUAACGCGUAAUUCUUUGUAGUCUUAUGCUUCAAAUUUAUAACUUCAAAUUCACAUCUUGAAGUUAGGCCUUACCUGAUUUUAUUCAGAGGAAACCAUCUAACAAACUUUGAUCAGAAUUUUCUUUUUACUAAUGUUAUUCUUAAACAAAUUUGUUUUCAAUUAUGCACUAGAAUAAAGGUACAUUACCGACAUUAAUUUGUUAACUACCAAUUGUGGUGCGCAGUUGAAAAUUGUUCUGAGCAUUGUUUCAAUCGUACACAUAAGCAACGCUUUGUAAAGGCAUUGAGGUGGACAGACAGUUAAAAUUGAAUACAGGAUCGGAUUAGAUUAUUUAAAUCUUUUGUCUAAUGAUUUAGCAGAUGUUUUCCAUGGUCUUCUCCGGAAGAAACACUGGAAGGGGCUUUUACCUUGGAUACACUGCUACUGUUUCAUGCGUUCAAAUGAAACGAAAGAAUCUAUACUCGCUGUAAGUGGAUUGCUGUCAAUGUUUCAUGAAUUGUCUGCUUUGUUGGUGCUUGAUACUGCUAUUUUUCACUUUAAUGCAUAUAUGCAUACUUAGCCUUCGAAAUAAUGUAUUGACGUUCACAUCAAAACAUUUUUGAAGCACCCAACUUCUUUGCAGGAUGCAGAGUCGACUUUAAAUGCCAAAAUAGCAGACCCAAUUUUUCAUAGGGUUCGAGAUGUUGCGCCCAACAAGGUAAGAACUUUCUUAAGGUUGUCUUUUCUUUAUUUUAAGUCUUUGAAUGCGUUAGAACCUGGUUAUCUUCUAAUUCCAAAAUUUUCAAACUUCCAAAACAAAUUAGCAAAUUAUGUCAAUUUUUCUGCAGUAAUACAGCCUGCAUUACUUCCUGCAGGCUAUGUAUUGUUUGAGCUUCAGGCUGCCCGAAGAAUGUUUUAAGGAGGAAUCGCAAGGUUUGAUGCUAUCCGCUGAUACCAAGUCAUAGUGUCACAGAAAUAGAACCCCGUCGCCUACUUAUUGUGCUUUUCUGAGCGACUCGUGAAGCUACACUUCCCUCUACAGGUACUCAAUUGGCAUUGCACCUUUUCUUCACUUAAUUUAAUUCUGAACAUUUGGUUGUCAGGAAUCUUGCAUUUCAAAUACAGCUACCUAUACUCUCAUUGCUGAUUAAAAUGAAGAUGGGUGAUAAAAAGAUGUGUGAUGGUUUUUCAUUUUAACCGCACAAAUUGGUUUCUUUCAUGGUACUUGGGAGACAAAAAGGAUCUGCAAUAAUGUGUCACGAUGAGUUUUUGGUUCUAUUUACAAUUGCAUUUUUGUUAAUCCCUAUAUUUAUAUGAUUGUCAAAAUGAAAGAUGAAUCCAUUGUUAUGUAUUGUACAACUACAGCAAGAAUUCAAAUCCUAGUUACCUUUUCUACAUUAGCAAAUGAUUUUCCUUCAGAUGCCAAUUCAUUUCAACUUGAUUAUUUUUUUAGACAUGUUCCGCUAGACGGAAUCAAUCAUGAUCUUUGGAUAUCAUGCUAAAAUAGCAUCACUAAGUAUUCACUUCAUGACAUAGUUCUAAGUCCCAAAGGGUGCGCAAUGCUUACACAGCGACGAAAUAGGGAUCAAUUCCGUCUCUCCAAAAAUAGUGAUCGAUUUUGCACAUACGGUAUAAACGUAUGCUAUAGUGGAGCAGAAGAGGUUGCUACCUCUUCUAUUAUAUUUCUUCCGCAUUUCCCUUUCUUCUUCCUGAUUCCUUCUUGUACUAAAGACUCGUUGAAUAUUGUCUCCCACUUCAAUGGUAUUUUAUGUUACGGAAUUAAAAAACGAACCCAUCUAAAGAGGUUCCUAGAAUCUGAGGUUGACCAAGCGAUCAAAUUAACAACAUGUCUUCAUCUAUCUGCUUCUUAAAGUUUGAAAUUGAACAGAACUAAUCCUGCGAUUCCUUUUCCAAUGCUCGAGUUGUUUCUGUUUUGAGCAAUUUGUUGAUCAAUUUCUGAUUCCUUACCAGGAUACGAGGUGGCUUCAAAGCUCGAGCGAAAUAGGACCUGCAAAAUUUUCUCAAGAGCUAGUUUCUUGACCUGUGUAAUACAAGAUCUCUUUGAUUGGCUAAAGCAUUUCACAAAGCUCCGGUUUGAUCAUUGUAAGGUACUCAACCCCAAGAUACCCUCAGAAUGAGUGUUUUUGAUAUUCGAGUUAAAUUAAACAUAGCCAUGUCAUAAGCAUCACUUUUUUUUUUUCCCUCUCUAUCUAAUAGUUUGGACUCUAAUCAAGCCCAUGGAGAGUAGUUUACAAACUGGUCAAUUCAUAUAUAAUUAUAUAUUGCAGUCAAAAUACAGGAGGUGCACAAGUACGCAAACAUAAGUUGAAUGAAACAAUAUGUUAGUACAGGAGAUGACUAGGGUUAGGGCUUUUAUCGGAGUACUCGGGCUUCUAACAUAGUAUUUGAGACUCUGUAUGGUCACUAAUGUGUAGACCUUGUGCUCUAAGAGACACUUAUGGGUUCCUGCUGCUCGAGUUAACUGGUGCCCAUAGAUCCGCGCCGUUGCUCCGGGCUAUUCCGAGCGUCACCGCGACCGGCAUGAGGCAGAGGCCGCGGCUUCCCAAGCUGUAGUAAUCCCCAUCCUGAGCUUUCAUGAGAAGAUUAAGCUACCGAAAGCUUCGAUUCUUUGCAUUUAAACAGCACAAUGAAAGUGCAGUAAUUAUUUUUCGUCGCGUUUGUUUGGAUGCUGGAAUAAGUAACAACACUGCAGUUUGUUGUUGGAUGGGGAGUUUCCUUUUGAUUAUGGUCACAUUGUAACUUGAUUUUUUAUCCAUUUUUUAGCCAUUUUUUUAGAAGUGAAAGAUGCUGGAGCUAUCGCACGAAUAGCUUUUUUGCAAUAGAAGCUAUGACAAACGAAAAAAUAAAAAAUAAAAAAAAGCAUCUCACCUCAACUUUACCAGCCACUGAAGUUCGUAGAUAUGGAGCGCUUAGAACCUAUCAAACACCAUAAGAGAGACUGAUUUGUUUUAAAACUCUUUUUCCGAGAAAAAAAAAGAAAAAUGAAAAAGGAACUGUGUGAGGGAAAUAACCUUGAGUUGGUCAUGGAGGAACUUGAUGUACCCAGAAGCUUCUUGAAGAACCGAAGCUGUAUCCGACUGCAGUAGAUCGUCAGAUUAAGCCGUUUUAACUUUAGAACACUCGUUAAGAUUUAUUAAUUAAAAUAAAUACAUUUGAUCCACUCAUGAGGAGCCCAUCUCAUUAGUUUAACUAUUAAUUAGUUCUCCAGGUGCACUGCCAAAGCAGUUUACCUAGAUAUAACGUAUUUGCUUUGACAAUUAUCAAAAUUAGCUUUGACAAAAUCAAUUGCUUAUCAAGCGCGCCGAAAAAACUCUUUAUUUUUAUUGUGCAAAGGAUUGAAGAUUUAUGCAUACCUUUCCGAAAGGAGAGACCAGUUGUUGCAGCGCCGCGACUCGCUCUCCAAUCCUGUCCUUCUUCUCCUGUUUGCUCGUCUCAUUAAAGUAUUAGUAAUAAUCUUAGAAAGAACUACUAUAAUCUUAAAAGAAGAAAAUAGAGAGAAAUUAUGCGUGCACCCACAAUCUCUCACAUGCAUGUCAAAUCUGCUAGGGCAGUGAAAUAUGUUAAAAUUUAAGUUAAUUACUUAUUUUAAUAAAUUUAUAGUUGCGAGAAUUGUAAUAAAAUAUGUUAACUAAACUUAUAAAUACAAACAACACAUUUACGUAGUUUUGAAGUGACCGACACAAAUCAUACAAACCAAAAGAUUAGUUAUUAAAAUCGAAAUGUUAAAAGCUGGGUAGCCGAUUAAAGAAUACAGUUCGGAUAAGUUCUAUACGUGUGUUAUCAUAAUUCUAUUGAUUUGUUAUUUAACAUGCAUGUAAAAAGAUUGUGAGUACAUCACGACUACAAAGUAUAGUUGGACUUCGUAGUAAUGCGCACAGAAAGGUCAAAGGCCAGCCAAACCUUUGGAUAGAUGGGGCCUCCUCCUGCAUCUGUCUUCAACUUCUUGCCGCUCAUACUACCAUAAUUGGUGGCGGCGGCGGCGGCGGCGGCAGUUGCGGUUGUCAUGGCUGCGCUGGCGGCGGUGCCGUGAAAGUAAUUGUCGUAAUUCUUUCUUUUAUGAUCAACUAUUUCUGUCAUCAUCAUCCUUGAUCUUCUUUUCUCUGCUCACAACAGCAAAAACCACAAACUUGAAAUCUUUAUUUUGCUAUAAAAAAAAUUUCUUUGUUUUUGGAUAUGAAAGACUCAAAUGGAGGAGAGAGUAGCAGGAGAGCUUGACUUCAGGGUGAGCAAUUAGGCAAAGUGCAUGGGCAGUCCCUCUACUAUCUAAAUAUCGCAAUUUGGUCCUCGUACUUUUCAUCUAAGACACUUUAGCCACAUAAAUCGUUUUCCCUCGUUAGAGCCCGUUUGGUAUCGACAAAAGCGUGUCAGGACAUGCUCUCCGUUUUUCGGUGGGACUGUAUGCAUGCAAAAAACAUACCGUAACCGACCUAUCAUAAUGUAUACGGCGUGAUAUUAGUAUAUUACUUACAGUAAGAGAUAGAUUUUUUCAUUUCUAUCGUACUUUCUCACCGUACGUAAUGCGAUCUCUCCUUUCUGACUUGCAAUAGUUUUUUGACGCUUAGAUUAUUCAAUUGAGAAGUACGGGGACCAAAUUUGUAGUAUUGGAAUAUUAAAGGGACAAAUCCAUAAGUUUGAACCCCAUCAAUGCCAUGCCAUAGGCUUUGUCAAACCCCAUCUGUUUUUAUGUCAGUAGUUAUCACUACAGUCCAAGGACAGUUUGUUCACCAAAGAAAUCUGGUCUCUUUCUCACUUUUAUGUUCACAUUUUUUCUUGAUUGGGCCAUCUUUGUUCACUUACUAAUGUAUUUAUAUAUUUGUUCAUCUACUUAUUAUCUUUUUUCAGCUUUUCAGGUUCUGUAACCAAUCCCACAAAAUACUUUAUUAUCUUUUUUUAAAAAAAUUUUAAACUUGUUAAAAUACAGAAAACCUCUGUAUAAAUACUCGUUUCUUUACUUUUUCUUUUUUACUUUCAAAAUUUUAUAUUUUAUCCUCUUAAAAUUUCAAGUUGAUACAUUUAACCUCCCCUUCGUCAAAGUUCUGUCGCUAUUCCGUCAAAUUUCUUAUAAUUUAUAUCGAAAAUACUCUUAAAAAUAACAGAAUUUUAAAAAAUAAAAUAAAAUAUUUUUUACAGAACAAGUAACGGCGAUUUGGUCAUUUCAUCCCCUUUAUAACACUGUAAUUCUCUAAAAAUAAAUAUGAAAAUUUAAAGGGAGUAAAAUAUAAAUUUUUGAAAGUUAGGAGGAAAAAAGUGAAAAGUUGAUAUUUAUAGAGAAUUUUCUGUAUUUUAGCCUUUUAGAUUCUUUAUCAUACGUUUUGAAAAUGACUUGGGAAAAUUAUACAAAGGCCUCAAUUUUAACUUUUUUUAUAAAUAAAACUCUUUAACUUUAUCAAAUAGUUCCGUAAAUCUUUCAAGCGAAGUAACUAAUUAUACAAUUAUUUUGAUUGUAUGUCUAGCACAUAAUUUUAUACGACUUCGAAACACGCGGAAACCUAUUUCUUCUCAUCUAGUUAUGAUAACUAAGCAUCAGAAUCAAAUAAUGAGGUGAAAACUAAUUUGAUUUUUGUGGCCUUUUUCGCGCAUUAGAAUAGGAGGUAAGAUUUGUUCGUAUUUUGAAGCUUUACAAAAUUACUCGUCGGACAUGCGACAAAAACAGUUGUGUAAAUAGUAAGUUCACUUAAGAAGAGAAGUCUACUGAGCAAUUUAAUAAAAUUUAGCAAUCUAAUUAAGUCUAUUUGUAAUAGUAUUUAAAAUUUUAGGAGAUUUUUGUAAGUUUCUUUUCCCCAAAAUCUAACCCCUUUUUUUUCUAAUAAUAUCUAAUAUACCUUCAAAACUUUAAAAAUAUCUAAUAUAAUUCUGGUAGGCCAAAAUGCCCUUAUUGAUUUUCAAAAUUUCUUCAGAUAUAUCUCUAACUCUCGAAUUUACUAAUGGAUUUGGGAUUUAGAAGGAUAUUUUGAAAAUAGAAGGGUAAAUUUGAAAAUUUUGAUUAGUAAUGAAAGGUAUAUAAGUAAAAACCUUUUUUUUUAUUAAAAAAAGGAUUUUGUAUGAUUUAUCAUUUUUUUUGCGAAAUGGACUGCGAUGAUUCAAAUUUUCGCAACCAGAUACUUCUAUAAGUACUAUAAGUUGUAGAAUGAUCGCGAUACUAUUGACCAAUUUGGCCGAAUAUGUAGAAAUCUUUCUCAUUAUCAAGAAAUAGACACAUGAAAAUGGUGUGUAUAGUGUAGAGGCGCGGAGCCCAAUUAAUACUUUAGAUAAGGUAUUAGAUAUGGAUCGAGUAGCAUGUUCUCAGUUCGAAUUCAAAUUCAAAUUCAAAUACAGAUGCUUAAAAAUAAAAUAAAAUAAAGCCAUUGGUUAUUAAAAAAAGAAAAAGAAAAAGAAAACUUCAUCUUGAUUUUUUAAAGGGAUAAUUGCCUAUAUACCUCUCAUAUGUUUGAAAAUAUUCGAUUUAUCCUUACUUUUUUUUUUCUUUCUAAAAUACCCCUCAUAUGUUCCACCAUUAUUGCAAAAUACCCACGCAGUUAUUUCCUGUUAAGUUAACUUGAGUUAAACGUGAGUUAAAUAUCUACCACAGUUAAAAAAAAAAUAAAAUGCCAAUUUUGCCCUUAACUUAAAAAUAAAUAAGAAAUAUUGGUGACGGUAGAGGAGUAUAUUUGAAAAGACCAAAAGUCAAAAUACUUUUUGUGCCCCUAACUUUAAGGGCAAGUAAAAAAAUCAGUAAUGAUGGAAGAAUAUAUUUGAAAGGGAAAAAUAGUAAUUUUACAGAGAUAAUAGAGUUAAUUAACAUAUUUUAACUCUAGGGGUAUAUUAGAAAUAUGUUGGAAAGUAGAAAUGAUAUUUUCAAUAUCAGCCUUCUAAGAGGAAUAAAUCGAAAAAUCGAAAAUUUUUUAGAAAUAUAUAAGCAAUUGCCUUUUUUUUUAAUAUUGAACCUGACUUUUGUCCAAUUCAUAGGAUACUAUUUCUGGUCCUCGUGUCACAUUAUUGGGGUACAUAAAAAUAUGUGAAAAUUAAAUAAACCAACAAAACGACAAAAUCUCUAAAUUCAAGACGUAUACGGCAUUAUCUUUUCCAAAUUACAUAAAUAUAUUUCAAUCUUAAUCUUGAAAACAACAACAACAACAAAAUCCUCACUCAAUUAGCUUGGUUUUUUAUGAGUUUAAAUUCAAAUUUCAAUAUUUUGGUUUAAGUGAUUCUCACUAGUACUAAUAACUCUGUGGCUUUCAAACCAACAAAAUAUUUAAAUAUAAUUAUUAUUAUUAAAUUAUAUAUAUAUAUAUAUUAUUUUAUUUUUCAUCUGAUGUUCAAUAUAAUUGGGUUAAACAUUAUAAUAAACAGUUAAAUAUAAGCUAUGUUGAUUAAUAAAUUAUUUAAUAAUAAUGCUUUAAACUCAAAUUCUAUGUGAUUAAAUAAAUUAGACCACAAAUUAGAUCGCGCCAAAUGGCGCGUUUCUAUUGUUGAUUAUGUGAUCAUUUUCUUUUGACAUGAUAAGGCAGUGGCUGUCACUGCUGAAUAGUCUUAAAUAAUAGAGUUUUGUGUAUAAGAUAACUACACAGAUUUCUAAAAUAUUUUUAAUUAAUAUUUAGGUAUUAUUAAUAUUAUUAUUAUUAUUAUUGUUUUUACUAUGUUUAAUUUAAGUAUAGUAAAAGUUAAUAUUUUGAACUGUGAAUUUUUCUACAGCUGUAUUUUCGAGCCGAACAUAAGCAUGCGAUAUCUGACUCUUCUUUAAUUCUUUAAAAGAUACAUGUACAGAAAAAUUUCACACACAGAACGAUUUUUCUACUUAUGAUGUUCAUAAUCGUAUCUGAGCUGUGCCGCGCAUAUUAGAUUACUCAAAUUCAAGCCUCUCUUUUAUGAGUCGGCAAAUGUAGCACAAUGAGCUAAAAUUCCAUUUCACCAGUUACUUUAAAGAAGGUGUUAUAUUAACAUAUCUUAAUAUAUAAUUUUCUAGACAAAAGAAAAAAGAUUAAAAUAUAAAGUAAAUUAGCGCUUCUGCUUUUGUUUCUAAUUACUCAAAGUCGAAAAUAAUUGUUGCUGAAAGCAGAAGCAGAAGUAAAUCCGAACUAAACAGGUUCUUGAAAACAGCCAUACAUGACAAAUACGCAAUCCUAAUAAUUGAAAAUAAGAACAUAAGAUCUUUUUAUUGAUGGGGAGAGAAGAGAGAUAUAACUCACAGUGAUCAAAUACAAGAAGAAGCCUCAGUAAUUCUCCAAAAAGAAGAUCAAACUUAGCUUAUUCUUUUCCCCUGAUAAUAUUUUUGCACAAUUCUCCCCACUCUUUGGAAUAACACUAAAUCACAAAGAGAGAGAGAGAGAGAGAGAGAGAGAGGGGGGGAAGGGUUGGGAGGGUUUAAGGAAGCAAAGGGAGGAGAGAGGCUAUAUAUAAAAGCCCAAGAACAAGAAGAGAAAAUUAAUUUUCUAUUAUUAUUAUGUAGGGUGAAAAAAUGUUUGGAUUGUCCUUGAACUAUCUUCAAAUAGCAAAACAGUCCUUAAAUUUAUAUAUAUAUAUAUAUAUUAGGAGUCCCGCUAUUAUACUUUUAUGAGUAUUGUCUCUCUUAUACUCGUAAGUUUUUGGCCCUUAAAUUUANAUAUAUAUAUAUAUAUAUAUAUAUAUAUAUAUAUAUUAGGAGUCUGACUAUUAUAUUUUUAUGAGUAUUAGCUCUCUUAUACUCAUAAGUUUUCGAUCCUUAGAUUUAUUUCAUUAAUUAUUUUCAUCGAUUAGAUUAUACUAUUUAACCAACUACCAACUCAAUGCUAGAGAACUACUAUUAUUUUAAGUGGGGACCAUCAUCAUCCUAACCACACAUCCCAUCAAUCAACGGUUAAAAAUUUAUAAGUAUAAGAGGAUCUAUACUCAUAAGAGUAUGGUAACCCCAGCCUAUAUAUUUGAUAGAAAAAUUAUAACUAAAUUAAUAGUUCAGAAUAUUGAGAAAAAAUUUGGAGCAAAUCAAGCGAAUUUUGAUCCGAGGAUGAAAAGUAAUGGAUUUUGAUCUCGCCAUUUUAAUUAGCCGUUAUUGUUGAUUUCAGUGAGAGUGCAACAGUAAUAUGGUAGAAUAUAGUGAAACUUAAUUAGUUUAGAAAUAAAUUUAUAUAUUCUUAUCACUUACGAAAUUGUAAAAAUAUUACAGUUUGGAAAAAUAAAUACAUUUGUAAUAUUUUUCAUAUAAUUAUUUCUUAAGAAAAUUUAACUUUUAUUACAGUGAAAUGGCACAGAACUAUAUUUUUAUGAAUUAUUCAUGGUACCACAAGGUAUGAUUUUUUUUUUUUAAAUUUUAUAAGAACAAUUAGUUUUUUGACAUUUAAUAAAAUUUAAAAUUAUUUUUUAUUAAACAGUGUUGGUACUGAGGUGCAAUAUUGAAAUAAUACAGGGGCUAUAAAUACAUUUUACCCCAUAUAAUAAUAAUUAUACAUACGUGACAUGGUCCUUUCACAUGACAGCUAAUACACAGCCCAUGACGCGGGCCCCACCACCUGAACAGGGUGACGUCAUCAAGAUUUCCCACGCUAAUACUUGAAACUUCGAUUUUUCUUUUUUUUCUUUUUUUUUUAUUUCUCCUUUUAAAAAAAGGAAAAAAAAACUUUUUUUUUCUUUUUUUUUUUUGUGGUUGAAUUUAUCCACAAAUAGUUAGAAUAGUUAUUUAUUAGGGUAUUGCAUGGAUAAGCACAUUUUUACUUUACCAUUCUGGAAUUAAACAGAUUAUAAUUAAUAAUUUUGUAGUUUUAUUUUUAUUUUAUUAUAAAAUUUAGUGUUAAAAAAUAAUAACACAAUAAUUUUAUUUUUAAAAACAUUAGAGGAUAAUAAAGUGUAGUUUAUGAGAUAGUAAAAUACUAAAUUGUUCCAUAUUGUAAUAUCCAAGAAAUCUAUAUCUAUACUUACUCCAUUAAAGGAGAGUUCUGUCACCUCAAGACCCCUAGAGGUGACACGUGUCCUCCCAAGGCUCUUCUUUCUCUUUUUGAAAAAAUUCCAUGCACCCGUUCUACACAAGCUUUUUUCUCUCUUUUUAAAAAAUUUGAAUGCACCCGGUCUACACAAAUAUAAUAUACAUCAAAUCUAUUUUUUCAAUUUAAAAUUAAAUAUAAUUUAAUAAAUAUAAUUUAUAUUUUAUAAUAAGUUUAUGUAUUAAAUACUAUAGGCCUUAGGUUCCAGCAAUGGGGAUUUAUCAGUAUGAUAUUAAAUACAAGUAUAGACCCGACGUAUCAAAUGAUUUCUUUCCUACCCACUCCUCAUUUAUAGAAAAACUUUGCCUGCACCCAGUCUAUAAAUAUUACAUAUAUUAAUCAUAACUUUUUAUAAUUCGGUCUAUAAAUAUUAUAUAUAUUAAUUCUAACUUUUUAUAAUUAGAUCUAUAAAUAUUACAUAUAUUAAUCCUAACUUUUUAUAAUUAGUAUUAUUAAAUUAAAAUAUAAUUUUAUAAAUGCAACCUAUCUAUAUAAAAUGUCUCUAUAUCAAAAAUUACUAGAGUUUAAAUUUUUAUAUCAGAUUUUCAAAAAUAAAGUGCACAAAAUUUACUUAUACACUUGGUGCAUCAAAUAGUAUCAUUUGCUUUAAUAUAAAUAAACAUAUAUAGAUAACCCUCAACUAUAAUUUUUUUGAAUUAAGGCCCAAUCAAGUUUUAUUUAGUGUUGUAAUUUUUAUGCUUAGUUACAUUAAGAUGACCAAAGAAAAUUAAAAUUUUAAAUCUAACUAAAUUACUAAUGAAUUUAACAAAAUUUAUAAAUUUUUUGAUAAAAUUAUCUUACUUAAAAAAUUAAAAGUUUAGGAAGUUUCUAUACAUUUUCAGCAAAAGAUAUUUUGGCAAAAAAAAUAUGAGGACCCUCUCAACUAUUAAGACCCUUUGCAAUAGACUGCUCAAAAUUAAUUUUGUAAUUGAUUUUUAUAGUUUUUUUUUAACUUUUUACGAUUAAUUUUGGUUAAUUAAAUAAAAUAUUUAUUAAAAUUUAUACAAAAUUUGAUCAAAUAUUUUUUACAUAUGUAUUUUUACAUGAUUAGAUUAUAUUUAUUAAAUUAUAUUUUAGUUUAAAUGGUGAAACCUUAUAGAACCUUGAAUGGUGAACCUUAUAGAAGUUUUUCUUUUUUUAUUUAUGAAGAGUUGAAGACUAAAGAGCUCCUCCCAACAAUCUUUUUUUCUAUGAAUUUUUUAAUAAUUUUUUGCAUAUAUAUUCCUUUAUAAAAUUAUUUAGUUACUUACAAAUUCUUAUAAAAAAUUUUGUAGCACAUAAACCAAUUUACAUUAUUUUUAUUCAGAUUAUUUUUAAAUUUAUAUAAUUAAUAAUUAAAAAUUAAAAUAAUAUAAAUAUUUUAAUUAAAAUUUAUAAUUAAAAUAUUUUAAAUCCGCAGCAUCGCGCGGGUAAUUCACUAGUAUUACUUUACUUUAUGGUAAAAUUAAAAUUAAAUCAAGAAAUAGCUAAAUACAAUUUUUUUUCUUUUUUAAAAAAUAUGCUAAACCGUAGCGGGUCAAAAAUAAAGUAAUAAAAUUUACCAUAGUAAUUUAAAAUGUUAUAACACCAAUAAUAAGUUUUGGGAUGAGUUUGGGGGAAUAAAUUUUGUCUUCAAAAUAAGAGUAAAGAGAUACAACUUCAGCGGGGAGCUCUCUAAUAACGUUUCAUUAUGAAACCUCUAAUUUACUGUGAUCAUAUGUUAAUUUUGCCUCUAGCCAAUAAUUUGUUGGGCAUAUAUAGCGACAGAUUGAGUUUACUUAACGAGGUGUCGCUGAAAAACUUUGUGCUUAAGUUUCCUUCCUCUAAUAAAAGACAAAGUAACAAAAUAUAAUAUGAUUACUCACAUUUAUUUUUUCCUACCCGAAAAAUGUCUCGCAUAUAACACCUACACUACAUCAUUCAAGUCCCAAGCAUCAAAUUAUGCCUCUCGGGUUCAUACAUUGACAAAUCAUUUUCAAAAAAAAAUUUAUUAUAUUUUUAUUUCAAAAAGGAAAAAUUUAAUAAAAUGUUACGUAUCCUAAGUGGGUUACAUGUGAUAUAAAAGAUCAUCCCUUGCAAUAAAAUAUUGCACUAAUUAUAUGGUGUAUUGUUAUUUGAUAAAAUACUAUACAUCAAAGUAGUAUCAUUGAGAGAAGCACUGUGUUAAUGUAUCUCUAAUAAUUAUUUUAAAAAGUAAAAUUAAAAGUAUCAAAUUUGAAUUUCUUUUAACUUUUCAAACUUAGAUUUAUAUUUCUGCUCAAUUCUCGUGAUACAAAAAAUUUUCAAUUUAUAUUAAAAUAACCGUUACUAAAAGCAGAAGUGAAAGUAAAACUUAAUAUAUUAUAAUAUUAGACCUUAUAUAUAAGGCUAAAUUACAUAAAAUUUUCUUGUCAAAACUCAAUUUUUUACUUUCCUCCCUGUUAUUUAAAAACCUAUAUUUUGUCCCCUUGUAAAAUAAAAAAUGUUCACUUUAUCCCCUACCGUUAGUAACCCGUUAGGCUUCUGUUUAUAAAAUAUUAUUAUAUAUUUUUUAUGCCAAAAAUGUCCUCAGCCUUCUCUCUUGUGAACAUGGUAAGAGGCAAAAUGAUCAUUUUAUCAUCACAGUUCACACCGUACCCCAUGUGAACUUUUUUUAUUUUAUAAGCAGGCAAAGUGUAGGUUUUUAAAUGACAGGAAAAAGUAAAAAAUUGGAUUUAACAGCAAAAUUUUCUGUAAUUUAGCCUAAAUAUAAACACUAUUACACAGCUUAAAAGGUUCUAAUUUGUACUAAUUAUAACUGUAAUUUUAUUUAUUUAUUUAUCUAUUACUAAUAUACGAUUUUGUCAGGGUUCUCUGAAUACAAUAAUUAUAAUAAUGUAUUUUAAAAAACUUCUAAGUCAUUUUCAAUGGGGAAAAAAGUACCUUUCAUUUGUCAACUUAAGAUUGUAACUAAAUAUAUAGCAUUAUACGUACCAAUAACAUCAUGUGAAUUGAGACCCAACCAAUUAAUUAACCAUCUUAAUUAUGAUUUUUUUUUAUUGUUUAAGUAUGUGUCAUUAAAUUAAAUAAAGGCAAAGUUUUAAUUCGCUUUCCCGCGAACUUAUUAUUGUUCAAAAAGUUACACUAAACUCUCCAACAGUUUAAUCGUCCUUUUGAUUUGACUAUCUAAUUUAAAAAAAAAUUAAUUUUACUAUAAAAUCUUAUAAUUUAUUUGAUUUGAGUCAAUUAAUAAUUUUUUAGCUUCAAAAUUUAAAUGCAUUGUUUAUAUUUAUGAGUGUAGUUACUAUAUUUUAUACAAUUUAUAUAACUAUAAAUUUAUUAAAAUAAGUAAUUAUCUUAAAUUUUGUAUUUGAAAAGUCAUCAAAUUAUUUAAAUCAAACAAAUUAAAAGAUUGAAUAAUAAAAUCAAAAUAUUAAAAGAUUGGAUAGCCGAAUCAAAAUAAUCCAUAAUUUAGGUAAAUUUUAUAUACUUUUAUUAAUUAAAAAAUACCACUUUACUAUCCUAUUUAAUCAUAAAUUUUUUAAAUAAAAGAUAAAAAUAAAACAAGCAAAAAUGAGUUAAACCAUAGAAGGACAAAUUAACAUUUAUCCUAAAAUAAAGUACACCUCAUGCACUACAUUUCAGAAAUUUCUAUAAUAAAGAUAUUAAAUUAAAAAUAUAAGUUACUAAAUAUAUUAUAUUCAGGUGGGAAUUUUUUAUAUACAUCUAAUAUAAAACUAUUAUUCUUUAACACAUUUUAUAAUCACCCAAACAAAAAAAAAGCUAGAUAUUUUUUUUUUAAAAAAAACCCAUGCAACUACGUACGUAACAAAACUAUAUAUCGUAAUAAAAUAAUAUUACAGGAGAAGUCAUUUUGGUGAAUUGUUUUGCUAAGUCGCAUAUUCAACUCUACGUAGUUUUAUAUGUUCAAUAAAAUAAUGCAUAUAUAGGAUAAGAGAAAUAAGAUUAUUUAUAUUAUUUAAUGUUAUUAUUUUAUUGUUGUAUUACUACUUGAGGUGUAUGAAUAAGAUUAACUAAAAGUCAAAUUAUGAAAAUUCUAAUCACAAUGUUAUAAUAUUAUUAUCCAAUAGAUAUAUAUAUAUAUAACGCAAAAUUAAUGAAUUUUGUAAACUUGGAGUAUUCUAAAAGUCAAAUAUACUUUUAAAUUUAGCAAUAUAGACAUAAUUAUUAGAAUAAGAACCAUGCAUUAAUUCUUAAGAUAAAAUCAUUAGUUGCGCCUAGUUCAUUUAUAUAUAUUUACUAGGAUCGAUGGACCAUUUUCAGUCGACUAUCCAAUAUUUCAAAAUUAUAAUUUUGCUAUUCAAUUUUUUAAUUUGUUUAAUUUCAAUCAAUAAAUAAUAUUUUGACUUUGAAAUUUGAAUGCGGUGUUUAUAUUUACAGGUUUAAUUAGUAUACUUUAUAUAAUUUUCGUAACUAUAAAUUCAUUAGAGUAAUUAAUUAGUCUAAAUUAUGAAGUCAAGGUAUUGUUGACCGACUCAAAUCAGAUAACUUAACAAAUUGGAUAGUAAAAAUCAAAAUUUUAAGAGUUUGGAUAACUGAUUCAAAAUGAUCCAUACUUUAGGUAAGUUCUGUAUAGUUUUACUAAUUUUUUAUACAUAAAAAUAAAUUAUAACUUAGCAGGGUGCUCAAGUUGAACUAAUGAGAUGAAAACAAAUAAUACCAAGUUGUUGGUGCUAUUAGGUUUUCGGCCCUUGGAUAAAGAAAUGUACGGUUAGAAUGAUAUGGGCCUCCUAGGGUUGAGUGAGUUGUUAGUUGAAUAGUAUAAUCUAACGGAUGAAAAUAGUCAAAGGGUUAAAUCUAACGGCGGAAAACUCGGUAGCAUCAAGUGCUUGGUGCUAUCGAUAGUAUCCCAGCCGGAAUAUAUAUACGUGCACUAAUAACAGUUUAUAUAUAUAACUAGACUACUGCACUAUUAGUAGCACCAAGUCAUAGAUGCUAUUAGAUUUUUGACGAAAGAAUGUUCAGUUAGAAUAAUAGUGGUUUUCUAAAAUUAAGUGAGUGGUUGGUUAAAUAAUACUAUGGCCGAAGGAAAACUUUUGUAAAGAAUUUAGAGAUCAAUAACGUCGAACUUAAAAGUUUAAGAAUCCAAAUGACAGGUAGAGAAAAGUUCAGGGGUAGUGCAGCAAUAUACACAAAAUUGUUUGGUUUAGAAUCGAGAUUGAAUUUUUUUUCUUUUUAGAAAAAGAUAACAUGCUAUUCGCUUUAUUUAUUUUUUUUAAACAAAUUUAGUCAAAAAUGUGAAUCAAUUAGAAUUCGAAUUUAAAAUUUUGGAUAUCAAUUAUUAAAUAUUGGAAAAACUUCAAAUAGCACCCCUCUGGUUUCACACUUUUUUACUUUAAUACCAUAUAGUUUAAAGUGUAUCAAUUUAGUACCCUGUGGUUUCGCACUUUCUCACUUUAGUACCCUAUAGUGUAAAGUGCGUCAAUUUUACUCUGUGGUUUUAUUUUUCUCUUUUCUUCGGCUCCUCUGUUAAUAUUUCGUUAAAUUAUACACAAAACUUCAGAUACCGUACCUAACUUUAUCGAAUAUUUACUUUAGUACUCGUUAGUUUUAACUUUGUCACUGAUUUUUUUUCCUCCAUUAAUAUUUUGUUAAAUUAAUUAUAUAAAAAAAACUUUAGAUAUCCUAUCUGGGUUUAUCGAAUAUUCAUUUUAACACUCUUUAGUUUUAACUUUGUCACUGAUUUAACGAAAAAUAUCCCGAAAUGAAUAACAAAAUGAAAAAAAUAAAACCACACGGUACUAACUUAAUACACUUUAAAUCACAGAAUACUAAAGUGAGAAAGUGCGAAACCACAGGUGCUAAGUUGAUACGCUUUAAAUUAUAGGAUAUUAAAGUAAGAAAGUGUGAAAGUACAGAGAGGAUAUUCAAAUUUUUGAAAUUUAUCCUUAAAUAUUUUGCCACUUGCGUCAGAGACGGUCGGUAACGGGGAUUGAAUUUUGAUGAUGCAGGGGUCACUUUCGAGCAGUUUCUAUCCGUCCGCAAAUCGGGCCAGUUAGUAGUGGUUGGAGAGUGGGCCCUACACGCAUCACCGUUAUAUUAUUUUUCAGAACAUCUGCAACAAAAACCAAUCAAAUAUCUGCAUAUUAUAUAAAAUUAUAAAAUUUUUAAAAAUAAAAUAAUUAGUUUACUAUAUUUUUUAAUAUUUUUAUCUUAUAGUUUCAAAAACACACUUAACUAUCAUCUAUUUACUACCAGUGAUUCAAAAAUUUACAUUUGAAUUUUCUAUAAUUUUAUUUUAUUUUACUAUAAAUAGGAUAUUAUCUCAUGAUUCUUACAAAAUCUCGCCUUACUAUUGCAUUUGAGAUUAAUUUUAUUAGUGAAAUAAAAACUUUUUGAAUUAUCGGUAACAAAAAAAAAAUUAUAGAAGAAAAAAAUAAAAUUCACCUUUUAAAAUAUUAUUAUUAUUCUAACAUGUAAUUAUUAUAGUGGGGUCCACGCGCUUCCGCCUCCCACUUCCACACGCAAGAAGCCAUCAUCUAAUCCAAUAAUUCAAAAAAAAAAUAAUAAUAAUAAAACAAUUGCUUACAUACUUUUGAAAAAUUUUUAAUUUUCCAACUUAUAUUUUUUAGAAGGUUAAUAUUAAAAAUACUAUUUCUACGUUUCAACCUAUUUCUAAUAUACUUCUAAAGUUAAAAUUUAUUAAUUAACUCUGUUAACUCUGUAAAAUUACUAUUUUGCCCUUUCAAAUAUACCCUUCCACUAUUACUGACUUUCUUAUUUGCCCUUAAUGUCAGGGGCACAAAAAAUAUUUUGACUUUUGGUCUUUUCCAAUAUACCCUUUUACCGUCACCAAUAUUUUUUAUUUAUCCUUAAGUUAAGGAUAAAAUUGACAUUUUAAUUUUUUUUUUAAACUGUAGUAGAUAUUUAACUCACGUUUAACCUAAAUUAACUUAACAGAAGAUAACUGCGGGGGUAUUUUACAAUAACGGUAGAACAUAUGAAGGGUAUUUUAGAAAGAAAAAAAAAAGUAGGAGUAAAUCAGAUAUUUUCAAAUGUACGAGAGGUAUAUAGAUAAUUAUCCCAAAAAAAAACCUCUUUGCGACCUAUUUCUUAAAUUUUUUUUAAUUAUUUUUUAAUUAUUGUUGAAUAUAAAUUAGUUUUAUGUUUCCUUUUAUAUACUCAUAUCAGGACAAAAAUUUUAUAAAUUCAAAUUUUCAACAUCUUUAUGAUUUUUUAUAUAUUCAAACCUUUUGAUUAAAGUCCACAUCUACAUAGUGGCUAUUUUGUUUUCUAUGUGAAUCUCAACAUCUUAAUUGGUGGCUCUUAAGAUGCAUUUGGUGAUGUAUACGUAUACAGCAAUUAAUGGUCACAUCGAGAUGACUGAUAAAGCAAUUAAUGGUCUAAGAUUUACAUCUAAUUUUGAUCAUAUCAUGAGUGCAAGUCGCAAAGAGUCUGAUGAUUGAUAUCUGAAAUUCUAAGUUUGAAUCUAAUUGCUUCACAUUUUUGCUAAAAAAAAAACUUUACCUCAUUUACGCAGACACCGGAAUUUUUAAUUUUGGUAAAAAAAAAUUUUUCUUAAUCUUUAUCAAAUAGUUCGACGGACCCUUCUUUUCAAUUAAAGAUAUAUAUUAAAUACACAAUCCUCUCGUAUAAAGCUUCACAACACACACACAAAAUAUAUAUAUUUGGUAUUCUAACUUGAAAAAAAAGAAAAAAAAAUUAAAGUUCGGUUCAACUUAUUCUUCAAUCACCGUGUUUAAUUAUUAUUAAAAUUAGAAGAGAAAAAGAAAUAAGUUUCUUUAUACUUUUAAGUUUUGCAUAAUUAUGUGUACGGCAUCAGAUCAAAACAUUUAUGCAAUUAGUAAUUAGUUUACUUGAAAAGAGAAGACUAUUUAACUAUUUGACAAAGUUUGAAGGGUCUGUUUGCCAAAAUUGAAAGUUCAAAGGUGCCUGUUUGUAAAUGAGCUAAAGUUUGGGAGAUCUCCAUACAAUUUUUCUUAAAAAAAAGUUAAAAUACACUAAUUAUGAGUCUAUACCAUGCUUGCUUAAAUAUUUUAGAAAUAAUUACCUAUAUAUCCCUCAAAACUUUAGAAAUAUUUUAUUUAUUCCUACUUUUUUUUUUUUCUUUUUAAUAUAUCUCUCAUGUGUUCCUCCGUUAUUCCAAAAUAUUUCUACAGUUACCACCAGUUAAGUUAACUUGGAUUAAACGUCAGUUGAGUAUCGACUAGAGUUAAAAAAAAUCAAAAUGCCUCUUUUACCCUUAACUUAAGUAGACCUGGCAAACGGGCGGAUUGGGUAACCCGCGGGCGGGUUAUUGUACCCAUAGUUUACUUGGGCAUGGAUAAAAUUUACCCGCAAAUUUUUGGAUAGCCAACAUUUUUACCCAUACCCGCACGCGGGUGGGCGGGUGGGUUUGCGGGUUACCCACAAUAUUUUUUUAUUUUUUGCUCUUAUAUUUUUUAAAUGGAAUAUAUAUAUAUAUAUAUAUAUAUAUUUAAAAGCGUAAUAUAACUCAUUAUUUAAAAUAUUAUAACAUACAAUAAAAAUAUUUAAAGUCUUAAAACAAAAUUAUUUCAUAAUAUAAAAGACAUGCAAUAAGGAAUUAGGAUUAAGAUUUUAGAAUGGAUAAAUAAAAAAAAUAUAUUAAUUAAGAAAAUAUAUUUUGUAAUUAAAAAUAUAUGUGCGGAUAUCCGUGGGUACCCGCAGGUUACCCAAAAUGCCCACAGUAUAAUGGGUAUCCACCCGUUUUACGCGUAAUUUUUUGGAUUGAAAAAGUUGGUACCCAUACCAGCAAAUUUGUGGGUAAUGCGCAGGUACCCGCAGGUUUGGGCCGAGAUUGUCAGGUCUAAACUUAAGGACAAAUAAGAAAUAUUGGUGAUGAUAGAAAGAUAUAUUUAAAAAAAUCAAAAAUCAAAAUAUUUUUUUUACCCUUAACUUAAGGAUAAAUAAGAAAAGUCUAUGAUGGUAGAAGGGUAUAUUUGAAAGGGCAAAAUAGUAAUUUCGUGCCGAUAACAGCUAUUGCUAACAGUUUAUUAACGGAAUUUAACUCUAGGGACAUAUUUGAAAUAGUUGGAAUGUAAAAAAGAUAUUUUCAAUAUUAGGCUUCGUUUGGGAUUGCGGGGAGAUUGCGUUACGUGCGGUGAGAAAGUAUGUUAGAAAAAUCCCCCGUUUGUUUUCGUACUUAAUAUUGCGUUCCGUAUAUCACGAUGAGUCGGUUACAAUAUAUUUUCUGCGGUCCCACCGGAGAACGCAGAAGCAUAUCCCUAUAUGCUUUUUCCAUAACUCCAUUUUAUCUAAUAGCAUUAGAUAGGCUUCAAUAUCAAACUAAGCAUUGUCUUCUAAAAGGGGUAAUCAGAAAGUCGGAAACUUUUCAGAGGUAUAUAAGCAAUUGCCCUAAUAUUUUAAUUCGAUAAAUUUCAUCAGAUAUGUCACAUACUUUAAUACAUAUAGAUUGGGCCCAAACCCCGUAACAUUAUCUUCUAUUUAAACAUAUUUAAAACAUGUAUUAGAGACAUCACUCAUAACUCUAAGCUUUGACUUGAUCAUUUGCCCAAAUUAAAAAUAAUUUUAUUUAAACAUUGAGGGGAAGCUUCUCAUCUCCUUCCUAAUUUGGAGGCUUUGUCACUUCUGUAUUAGAUUGAGUUUCAAGAUUCUUAUGGAUAAUCAUCUUCAAAUAAGCCCAUGCAUGAAGAUUAGAGAUGUUGUAUUAUUAUAUAAUUAUAGAUGAUCAUAUAUAUAAAGCAAGAUAUACUCUAGUUUAUAUAAUGGAAGUGUUUUUUUUACACUACUUCUAUGGACUAUCAACUUCAAUUUUAAUUCUGUGGAGAUGAUAAUAUGACCAAAUAAAUUCUCAAGUAAGUUCAAGGCAAACAAAGUCAUAGUUAUGAGCCUGUUUGAUCUUGCUGUCGGGUGUAGUAGUAUUUGAAAAAUAUUAUUCCGCGACAUAGUAUAUUAUAUUUUGUUUUAAUUAUAAUUUUGAUAUGCAACAACAACAAAAGAUUUAAAUUUGAGCUUCUGAUUCUUGCUACGGUGGAAGCCCUAGGGCCUAUAGUUGAAAGAAGAAACAACGAUUAGUUCAGAUUUUGUUAAGUGUUCGCUUGGUUUAUCUUCUAAAAUUGUUUCUCCAUUUUGAAAAGUAAUAGAUAACUGCAUCAUAUGAGUAUAGAUCUUUUUGUAUAAGAGAGCCAAUGCUCAUAAAAAUAUAGUAGCCGGACUCAUAUAUAUGGCUGGGGUUACUAUACUCUUAUGAGUAUAGACCUCUUGUACUCAUAAAUUUUUAACCGUCGAUUGAUGGGAUGUAUGGUUAGAAUAAUGGUGGUCCUCACCUAGAAUAAUAGUGGUCCUCUAGGGUUGAGUGGGUAGUUGGUUGAAUAGUAUGACCUAACGGGUGGAAACGAUCAAUAGAAUAAAUCUAAGGACCGAAAACUUAUAAAUAUAAGGGAGCCAAUACUCAUAAAAGUAUAGUAGCCGAACUAGUAUAUAUAUAUAUAUAGAGAGAGAGGGAGAGAGAGAGAGAGAGAGAGAGAGAGAGAGAGAGAGAAAUGUAGAUCAUUCCAUGUGGUAGAAAUAAAAAUGGGCUAUGAGGUUUAAAAGUACUAUUUUGAGGUCUCGUUUGGUAUCAUAUGUAUGUUUAUAUGUUUCAAGUGAAAUUUUGUAUAAAAAAAAAAAAAAGGGUACGUAGAUGGUGAAUUACUUAUAAUUUUUUUUACCCAAAAUAUUUAAUGUAUAGCAAAAAAAAUAAGAACUUCAAAAUAAUUCUUUCUUUUAAAUUUAUUUAAAUAAAUUUUUAUCUAUCACUUAGCUAAAUGUAUUAUAAACAAACCAGCUAUAAUAAUAAAUAAAAAAAAUCUUUCCUCCAACUUAUCAAAUUAUAUAUAUAAAGUUAAUGUUUAACGAGUAACAUUGAUAUAAAUUUGAGAGGCCAUAGUUUGAAAUUUUUCACUCUGCUUUAGAAGAUGGUAGAUAAAAAUCAAGUGAGAAAUUUUACCUAUAAAUAUGAUUAAAAGAUUUUAAAUUAAAAAAAUUAAAUUAAAUUAAAUCUCCAUAUCAUCCUUGUGACAAUAAAUAAUUUUUUUUAUUGGUAUAUAAUUUGCCUAUAAGUGAAAAGUUAUAAGGAGGUGUUUGGCCUCUCGUUAAAAUGUAAAAAAAUUAUUUUUCAAAAAUUCAUUAUGAUUUUUUUUUCUACGAUCUUAAUUUGUUUUUCAAAUAAAAUAUUCAAAAAACAAAAUUAUUAUAUUUCAUAAAAUACUUUUUAGAAACGUUCAGUAAAAAGAUUAUUUUUUGAAAUGUUUUUUUUUUUCGAAAAUCAGAUAUAUUUGUUGAAAGCAAAUUGUAAUUUUGCAUACAUAUUGAUUAAUUUUAAACACUUUAUUACAUUUUCUCGCAUAUCAAAUACAAUAUAUUUCAUAAAUAAAUUAAAAUAUAUAUCGAAUAUAAUGUUUAUGCAUUUAUAUAAAUAUAAUGCGAGUGUUUUUAAUAUACAUUUUUGAGUUAAUUUGUUGAUUUUUUAAGCUAAUAAUAUAAUAAUUAAUUAAACUCUCAAAAAGCAAAUUAAUUUGGAUACAUUAUUUUUUGUUUUUUUAUUUUUUUAGACUUUUCAUUAACGUUCAUCAUGGCUAAUGAUUUCUAUAAUUGUCUUUUUGUGUCCCGUGAUUCUCGGUUCUAGAACCUUCCAAAUAAGUCACACCAUGCACAUAUUUUUUAUUUUUUAUUUUUCAUAUUUGAUCUUUGAAUUUUUUUUUUUUCUAAAAAAAUGAUAUUGGUAGUAAUAAGGAACUAGUAUCAAAAAAGUUUCUACUUUUCUUUGGACUAAAAAGUUGAAAGUGACAACUCUAGUUUAGAUCCUUAAUUUGCUCCUUACAUCAAUGAGAAGUUGUAAUAUAAAAUUUUAUUUACACUUUUCUUUAAAUCACUAAUUUUAGAUUAAUUUUUAUCUUACGGAUAAUAUGGUAUCAGAAUCGGUCAUCAGCUCUCUCGGCUUAAGUAAAAAAAUUUAUAAUGUCGGGUAAUAUGGUAUCAGUGUUUUAUAUAUUUUGAAGCAUUAAUUAGGUGUAACGGCACUCAUACAAAUUAUUAUAUAUAAUUCUUAGAUAAAAAUGAAAGAAAACCAUCUUAGCUAGUGACAUGCCAUUUUCAAAUUAAUUUUUUUUAAUCAUAUCUUUAAAGAUUAGCAUCUCCUUAAUUUUUUUUUAAUUUAAAUUACUUAAACAUAUUUUGGUAUUUUGUAGAUGAGAAUUAUGAUCAAAUAUACAACAUGACAUAUUAUAUUCGAUUUUAAAGUUUUUUUUUCAGAAUAAGAUAAAUUAUUAUUUAAAUAAAAUAUAAUAUCUUACCAAACCAAAAAAAUAUUCAAACUCCUUAUCUCCCAAUUGCACUUGAAAAAUUCUUACAUUGAGCUAAUUACCGCAGUAUAACUUAUUUUAGGAUGCAAACUGUGACAGCCUCGGAAUUUGAAUAGUCUUAUAUAUAAGAUAUAAUAGACCUAAACUUCUUAAUCCGGCCAGAAUAUUCUGGACGUAGUUAGGCACAAGAGGUUAAGAGGGUUAAUCGUGCUAUGGCUAAAGUAGUUUCUAGGAUGGAUGGCCUCCUAGAAGGAGGAUAUCACAGUUGGUAUCAGAACCAAUCACCAGAUAGAAGUAUGAGAUAAGUCUCGAUUGAGUUAGAAUUUGAAUGAUAGAUGAUCAGGCUCAAGAGGUUAAGAUGAUGAACCAAUCACUGGGUAGAAAUGUGAGAUAAGUCUCGACUGAGUUAGAAUCUGAAUGAUAAAUGAUUAGGCUCAACAGGUUAAAAUGAUGAACCAAUCAUCAAAUAGAAGUGUGAGAUAAAUCUCAACUAAGUUAGGAUCUGAAUGAUGGAUAAUUAGGCUCAAGAGGUUAAGAUGAUUAUACGUGUAAAAAAUAGAGUAGUUCUAAAAUGAGUGAUUCUUCUAAAAAGCAACACGUCAUGUAAGCAAGACCUAAGUUAAAGAAAAAAAGAAAAAACUUCAAAAACCCCUUGUGGUUUCGUACUUUCUCACUUUUGUAACCUGUGGUUUAAAGUGUAUCAAUUUGAUAUCCUGUGGUUUCAUUUUUAUCUUUUUGGCAGCUUUUUCAUUAAUAUUUUGUUAAAUUAUAUAUAAAAAACUUCAGAUAUCCACCUAGAUUUAUCGAAUAUUCACUUUAGUACCCUUUAAUUUUAAUUUUGUCAUUGAUUUAAGAAAAAAAAUAGUAAAAUUGAUAAUAAAAAUAAAAAAAUGAAAUCACGGGACACUAAAUUGAUAUAUUUUAAAACACAAGAUACUAAAGAAAAAAAGUACGAAACUACAGGAGAAUUUUUUGAAGUUUUUUCAAAAAAAAAAAGUACAUAAUACUACAAAAUAAGAAAUUCAUGUAUCUAAAUAGAGGCCUAAAAUUAGAGGGCCUACAAUUGAGGGAAUCUCUUCACACAUCUUUUAGUUACCUAAUUCUUUUACAUAAUUGAAUGUACUAAAUUCAUGUACCCAAAUCAAUCCACAUAGUGCACCAAAUCAAUUUAUUGCCCACUCAUAUAAGUCAAAAAUAAAUGAGAUGGGGUCCUACAUGAGGUGCAAAAGGCCAAAAACAUUUACAUUUAGGAGGUACAACCUUAGAAGAAAAGGUGAGAGGUUCUGAGGAGGAAAGAAGAAUACACAUUGAUUGAUUAGUGGCCCCACUAAUUUAAUUGAAGGAGCCAGGGAACAAGUAGAAAAUGUUAACCUUUUUAUUUUAUUUUAUUUUUUUUUUGAGAUAAUGGGUUUUGAGUAAGUCAUAAAAAGGACACCUAACACACGCCAACUCUCCCUCAAUUGUUUACAGGAUAACAUGAUACCAGAGCCAAUUCAAAGUUCUAUUUUUUUCCGAGAUCACCAGAUAUAUCUAGGGUGUGUUUGGUUCGCUUCUUUUUCACCAUAGAAUCGGAAUCGAAAUGGGUGAAUCCGUUUGUGGGUGUUUGGUACGCGGGAGUUCCAUUCCGAUUCCGAUUCCCGAGUGGAAUGGAAAUGCCCCAAUCACCCCUUUUUUCAAUCCGGCCUAGGAGGCCGGAUUGAAAGUUGAAUCCGGACGGAAUAGAUAUUUAUCCGGAUUAAAUUUAUUUUUUCAACUUUUUAAAUUAAAACAUAAGUUAAAUUUUAAAAAUUAAAUAUAUAANUCAAAAACCCCCUUGUGGUUUCGUACGUUCUCACUUUAGUAAUCUGUGGUUUAAAGUGUAUCAAUUUGGUAUCCUGUGGUUUCAUUUUUAUCUUUUUGGCAGCUUUUUGGUUAAUACUUUGUUAAAUUAUAUAUAAAAAAACUUCAGAUAUCCACUUAGAUUUAUCGAAUAUUCACUUUAGUACCCUUUAAUUUUAAUUAUGUCACUGAUUUAAGAAAAAAAUUAGUAAAAUUGAUAAUAAAAAGAGAAAAAUGAAACCACGGUGCACUAAAUUAAUACAUUUUAAAACACAAGAUAGUAAAGUAAAAAAGUACGAAACCACAGGAGGGUUUUUUAAAGUUUUUUCAAAAAAAAAAAACAUAAUACUACAAAAUAAGAAAUUCAUGUAUCUAAAUAGAGGCCUAAAAUUAGAGGGCCUACAAUUGAGGGAAUCUCUUCACACAUCUUUUAGUUACCUAAUUCUUUUACAUAAUUGAAUGUACUAAAUUCAUGUACCCAAAUCAAUCCACAUAGUGCACCAAAUCAAUUUAUUGCCCACUCAUAUAAGUCAAAAAUAAAUGAGAUGGGGUCCUACAUGAGGUGCAAAAAGCCAAAAACAUUUACAUUUAGGAGGUACAACCUUAGAAGAAAAGGUGAGAGGUUUUGAGGAAAGAAGAAUACACAUUGAUUGAUUAGUGGCCCCACUAAUUUAAUUGAAGGAGCCAUGGAACAAGUAGAAAAUCUUAACCUUUUUAUUUUAUUAUUAUUUUUUUUGAGAUAAUGGGUUUUGAGUAAGUCAUAAAAAGGACACCUAACACACACCAACUCUCCCUCAAUUGUUUACAGGAUAACAUGAUACCAGAGCCAGUUCAAAGUUCUAUUUUUUUCCGAGAUCAUCAGAUAUAUCCAUACUAAUUAGGGAUGUCAAUGAGUAUGAAUACUCGAGAUAUUAUCCGAACCCGAAUCUGAACGGGGCGGGUUUACCCGAGCUAAAUGGGUAUGGAUUCAGUUAUGGAUAUAGAAAAUAAAAAACCUGACUGAUAUGAAUACAGGUAUGGAUUUUGUAUUUACUUGACACAAACCCGAACCCGACCCGAACCCAAACCCGAACCCGACGGAUUAUAAAUAUACAUAAUUUAUUUUUAUUUAUUUAUAUAAUAUAUAAAAUAUUUAAUAAUUUUUAUCUCUUAGAUCUUCAUUCAACGGUAUGAAUUUUUAACAUCAGCCGGGUUCGGGUCCGGGUUCGGAUUUCGAAUUUUUGAUUGGGUACGGAUAUGGGUAUGGAUUUUUAAAACCCGCCGGAUUCUUGUCCGAGUACGAGUAUGGAUUUUAAUUUGAUUUUCGGAUUCGGAUUCGGAUUUUUAAAAACAUGAUCUAAACCCGACUCGUUGACAUCCCUAAUACUAAUACAUGCACGGAAGCGUCAAAUAUGUUACUGAGUUAUUUUUUAUUAGAUUAAUCUUUUAAAUAAUACUUUAAAGAAUGGAAAAAAAAAGUAAAAAUUGAAUGCAAUGUGACUAAUAAUAGUUAUGAGGACAUAUAGAGCAACCCUCCUUUUGUACCAUUUUGUACCAUGUUUUGGUACAAACUAUGUUUUUAUAGGAAGGUUCUAUAUACUUGUUUUGCCUAAGCUAUACACAUCCUUAUAGAAUCACAUAUUUAACCUAAUUUUAUUAUCAAGAUUCUUUUGAAAUGAAAAGUAAAAGCUAGAGCUCUUACUUUAAUUUAGAGUUGAAUUAUUAAAAUUUGUUAGAUUUUUUUGAAUAAAUGGGAGAGACAAAAAGAAAAUUGCCUUUUACUCUAUUGUUUGGAAGUAUAGUGAGAGAAAAUAAAAGAUAAUAAGCUUUCUAACACUCUUAUCUUCAUUUACACUCACAAAAAUUAAAGACACAUAUAAUUUCUCUCUCACUUUUCUAUCAAAAAAAACAAUGACCUAUAAAAGUGAGGCUUAAUUAUAACUCACUUUAAAAACUCAUUUUUGUACUUAUGUUUUGCAAAACAAACAACCGAUAAGAUGUUAUCGUUAUAUUCAGAAAGUGUUAUUUUUGGUGCUUCACUUUCGCGCAACCAAACAUGCCCAGCCAAAAUCAAACCAAAUAAAAUCGAAAUCAUUGGUUUGUUUUGGUUUCGCGGGUUUUCGCUUCGGUACCCAUCACUAUUAUCUUAGGCCCAAACCUUAAUGGGGGCCCAGAGGCUUAUUGGGCCUCUAUGUAGAUGGGUUUCCAAAGGCCCAUUGGGCCUUCUGAUGAUAACUUAGUCCAAAUUACAUGGAGCUUAUUAUAUGCUAAAUAUAUGAACACAUGUUUAUUAAUAAUAAUAAUAAAUAAAUAACAAAUGUGUGAGCACACAAUAUAUCUUCUGUAUUUGAAAAAAAAAGGUGCAACAAUUUUUUUAUUUACAAAAUAAUUUUUUCUACCUGAUUUUGGAUAUUAAUAAAAAUUUACUUUAGAAAAGAAGUAACAUAACAGUUUUUUUGAGUUUUUUCUUUUUUAGAGAACAGUUAUUUAAAAAAAAAAAUGGUCUGUUUGGUCCUUAGGAAAAAUAGUUUUUCUAGUUCUUUUUUCAAAAUUUAGGAAAAAUCUUUAUUUUUAUUUUUUUGGAUUUUCUAUCAGAGGAACAAAUAUUAUGCAAAAGAUAUUUUUUAAGGAGAACUUUAUUUUCUUGGAAAAUAAUUUUCAUGAUUUUUUUAUGCCUUUGGUUUUUCGAAAAAGUGUGAAAAGCUAUUUUUGAGAUUUUUUUUUUUUAUAAACAAUCACUCUUUUUUUUAUACUUUUUCCUGUUUAGUUUUGAAAAAAAAAACUAGUUUUUCCAAAAAAAAUUUAGAUUUCAAUAAAAGAAUAAUAGCUAAUAUGCAUUUCAAAACUUUAAAAAUAAAAAUAUUUUAUUUAUCUCUGGAGGACCAAAAUAUUCUUGUUAAUUUGAAAAAAAUUCUUCAAAUACCUCCAUUUUCUCAUAGGAUUUGCUAAUAGGAUUGUAUUUUAGUAGGGUAUUUUGAUAAUUCCAAGAUGAAUUUAAAAUUUUGAAUAAUAGUAGGAGUAAAUAAGCAAAAUUUCCUUCAUAAAAUAUAGUUUUUUGCUAAAUUACAUAAAACUUCCUGUCAAAAUUUGAUUUUUUACUUUUCUUCCCUGUUAUUUAAAAAUCUAUACUUUGCCCUGUUGUAAAAUAAAAAAUAUUCACAGAGAGUACGGUGUGAACUGUGAUGAUAAAAUGACCAUUUUGCCCCUCACCAUUGUCGUCUCCUUUCCAUCUUGUUUAUCCGCCGUCUCGAUCGGCCACAGUUCGUGUCUCGAUCAACUGCGAUUCCUCUCCAUUUUCUUCUCCACAUGCUCCCUUUCUCCUCCUGCACCAUCGUCGUCCCUCUAUUUUGACGACAUUAAGGAGAAAUCGAGAUGGGUGUGGAUGGAGAGGUGGGCAAGGGCAACGAGGGCAAAGGCGAGGCGGCGAAGGAGGGCGAGGGGGUGUUUAUGGGCACGGACGGAAAUGUGGGCGAGGGCGAGGCAGUGAAGGAGGGCGAGGUGGCAAGGCGAGGCGGCGAGGUGGAGGAGGGUGAAGCAACAGCAAAUAGGGCGGAGGGUAUUCUUUGGCAUAAAAAAAAUUUUAUAAUGAAAUCCGAACGGAUCACUAACGGUAGGAAGUGAAGUGAACAUUUUUUAUUUUACAAAGAGGCAAAGUGUAGGUUUUUAAAUAAUAGGAGGAAAAAGUAAAAAAUUAAAUUUUGACGGGGUUUUUUCUAUAAUUUAGCUUUUUUUUUUGGUUUUUUAUGGAUGAAACUAGAAUUCUUAAAGAGGAGUUGCAAUCAACCCGUACUAUUUCUCUACUCUUCAUCUUCCUCCUCUCUCUCUCUCUCUCUCUCUCCUCCGCCGCCGCCGCCGCCGCCUCCGCUCCCAUGGCGACCUCUCAAACCCUAAUGUCGUCGUCGUCGUCGUCGCCGCAACAAUCCCCUCCCCUACAAAUCCUAGGUAUUGUUCCCCCCACACAAACCCUUCUCCUUCACUAUCAUCGUCAUCAGCAUCAGCAUCAGCAUCAGCAUCAUCGAUUUGAUCUAUUGGAUCCUCUUCUUCGAUCUCCGCAGUUCGAGAGCCCGAGGGGUUCUCCAUAUGGCGAGGUCCCCCCUUCGCCAAUGGCGAGCCCCGCCCCGAGCUCGACCGGGUCCCCGCCGCCGCCGCCAGGUUCAGCGACGACGGGGCGCGGCUCCUCGUCACCAGAAGCGCUUCCGCGGUCAGCGUCUACAGCUGCGGCGGCGGCGGGGGCGGAGGAUUCUCGGAGAUCAGAGCCUUCGAGAUCCCCUCCCUCCUCGCCGCGGCGCUCUCCCCGCGCGGCGCGUUCCUCCAAACGUUUCAGAAAUCGACGUCGCCGCAGGAUAAGAACGUCGUGAUUUGGAGCGUGGAGAGCGGUUCUCCUGUGUACCAGCAGUUUCAGAAGAAUAUGUCGAAAACUACAUGGUUCAAUCACAAACCACUUUGAAAGUGCAAUUUUUUUGGCUUAAUUCCACUCUAGUUCACUGAAUUUUAGUGGCAUAAUUUACAUUUAACCAAACACACCAGUACACCACUAAACUUUGGAUUUUACAGCAAACACUCUACUCUGCUAAUGUAGUAUUAGCAACAUUAGGUAUCGUUUUGUUGAGAUUUUGAUCCCUUGGUGGUCUCUCGGACAAGAAGACGAGAAAAAGGCUUAGUUUGAAUCGAUAAAUUUUGAAAAUUUGAACUCGUUAUGGUCAUUCUUAUAAGCAAGCAUUCUAAGACUGUUAUUCACAAAACUGGUAUGGAUUUUGAACUCUCUGUUCUCAUCAAACACUAGUGUUCUCUAUUUUUUCCCGAUCGGAGUUUAGGAGUAAUGCAUAGAACGUGAAAACUCUCUUAAUGUUUGGCAUAAUGAAGUUGAAUUAAGCCUUCUUUUUUUUUUUUUUUUUUCUUGCUAGGAUUUAAACUUUUCCGAAAAAUGCUCUAUUUGAUUGUUAUUUUGCUGAAUUUCUCAGGCCAUCAGUUCAGUUUAGUUCUGAUGAAUCAGUCGCUUGUAGAAUGGCUACGAAUGAGAUACAAUUUUUCGAUCCUAAGGAUUUCGCCAAAGGAAUUAUAAAUAGAUUGAAAAUUCCUGGUGUUACUGCAAUUGAGCUCUCAAAGUCUCCUGGUUCACACGUUGUGGCAUACAUAGCAGAAGCCAAGGUUGGUUAGUGUGGUAAUUUCUAGUUUAAUUUUGUUGGGGAAAUGGAUAAUGAUAUAAGUCGCUUUUUGGCUUUAGGGUGUCCCAGCUAGUGUUCAAAUCUUUUCUUGUGGUAAGGAUUUACAAAGCCAGCCUGUUGCUCGGAGAAGUUUCUUUCGAUGUUCUAGUGUUCAGUUCCAUUGGAACAAUGGCACAACUGGGCUUCUUGCUGUUGCUCAAUCUGACGUCGAUAAGAGCAACCAGAGUUACUAUGGAGAAACUAAGCUGAACUACUUGACAACUGAUGGGAGUCAUGAAGGACUUGUUCCUCUCAGUAGGUUUCUUUUUGUGAGUAAAAUUGCAUGGAGGCCCUUUCUAAUGUAGGCCAUUUCAAAAUUUUGUUUUUGUUGAAACCUCUUGUAUUUUUGUUUGUUUUAAUUUUAAUUGUUUCUGUCAGAUGAACCAGGGAUUUCAUUAAAUUUGGUGGUAAUUUCGUUAUUAUAAUGGCUCUACCUGAGCUAUGAAACUGUAGGUUUUGUUAGCAGUUUAUUGAUGGUAGCUAGCUCAACUGUCAAUUUGAACAAAAUCCCAGUUCCGCAUGUCAUCUGAUGGAAAUAACUCAAGUUAAAGUUUCAGUAUAUUCUAAAUGGCCUACAGCUUACGGGGGUUUGUAAACAUUGUUGCCUUUUUUUUAAAUUUUUGAGUGCAAAUGGUUAUACUGAUCAUGAGCAUAAUUUCCAGAAAAAGAAGGGCCUGUGCAUGAUGUUCAGUGGUCUCUCUCGGGAUUGGAAUUCGCUGUUGUGUAUGGAUGUAUCCUUCUUGAGUAUUUCGUUUAUAGCAUAAUAAUAGAUACCGUCCUUGACUUCGGAUGUAAUAUUUGUUAACUGUUAUUACUGUAGUCCUUGACUUGCCUCAGUUAUGCCUGCAAGAGCAACAGUAUAUGACAGGAAAUGCAACCCUCUGUUCGAGCUUGGUCAAGGUCCUUACAAUACAAUAAGGUGGAAUCCAAAAGGGAGAUGUAUCCUUAUUCUAAAGUUUUUUUCGACUUUUUAUGCUAUUAUUGACUCGCUUGAAGUUCAAACUGCUCCAUUUUUUAGGUGCCUCUCUUACUUCUCCAUGUUUCCUUAAUUGUUUAUUAUGAAACAGUUAUAUGCCUGGCUGGAUUCGGUAAUUUACCAGGUGAUAUGGUACGCAUGUAACUUUUUUAAAUGUUCAAGCACAUCCUUAUGAUCAGCAUGAAAAGAAAACAUUUUUGUGAUUUUCAUUUGGAUCAUUUGUUUGAAUCUAUUUUCCAUUUCCAUCAAUUAUCCCUAGCUCUGAGGAAUUCUCCUUCAGCGAAUUAAGGCUUAUGUUGUACUCAUGCAAUGAAUUGGCUCUUCUUGUGGAACUCACGAUUGUGGGCCUAUGUAUAGAGCAGUUACAUGUAAACUUAGUAAUCUUAUAGAUUUGAUCCCAAAUUUAGACAUGAUCACAAGGGAUAUCCUUAAGUUCUGCUAGGUCACUCUUGUUGUUCAUUCAUUUUCAUGUGGUAUUUUGACGAAAAGUUGUAGUUUUAUGUUCAACUUCUUGCUAUAAGAUUUUCAAGGAAGCAAAAAAAGAGUAGUUGAACUCUGCCACAAAAUUAUGUUGACUCAGUCCAAGUUAGAGCUCUAAUCCUUAUUACUGAUCAUAGUUUUGGGAAUAAUGCUGUCAUACACCCUCACAAAAAAUAAGUAAGUCCCUCAGGGAAUACAAUAGUGGUCUUGUUAUAGGGAAUGAGCGGGCCUUCCUAUCCAUGUCGAUAGGAAUAGAGUCAUGUUUGCUACUCUGUCAUAUAAGAUCAAACAGAAUUUAUUCUGAGGUAUUGCUGUAGGGCACAAGUUAAAGACAAUAAAAUCCUGUAUUUCUUUUUCUGUGUUUUGUCAACUACCAAGUACAAAACUUGAGAUUGUUCAUGAAGAAUUCCUCCUGAUGAGGACAAUACUGCAUUUUUAACUAUGGUAACAUUUUUCUCCUGGCAAAAUGGACUUGCUGCUCUCAUCAUAUAUUAACUCACAAAUAGCGGUAUCUUUUAAGAGCGUGUUCCGAUCCAAAGCUGCCUUCCCUUCAAUUACAGCCUUGAUCUAAAAAAAAAGGUUAGGAACCUGUUAAGCAACAGCAAUAAUCUGAUCGAAAUCUUGGCAACUGCAAUCUUAUAUUUUUUUUUAUAGGAGAUGCAUUAUUCGUCCAUUGGCCACCAGCUGAAAGCUAAUAGCAAUACUGCAAUCUGUUUAUACUUAGUUUUUAUUUUUUUUAAUAGACUGUCAAGUGUAGUGUAUCUUGAGGCAAGUGUGUUUGUCAAAUAUAAAUACCCUUGAGUCUCUCCUUUCUCCGAUCAGAUGACCAGGUCGGUUUUUUAAACUUUGGUUUUAACUAUGGGUGAAAUCCGAUUAAUGAGUGAGCUGCUGUUUAGUUGGUCAUUUAGAUGUUUGUAACAUAACAUGAAAUACUCAGAAGUGCUUCAGGGAUACCACGAAUCUUAAAGUUCUUAUCUGUGUCUUGUAUAUCUUUGUAAUGAACUGUUCUUUCGUUCAUUCCUUCUAUACUUUUGGUAGUUGUCGCACCUCCAUUUUCUAACCUGUGCUGUAUAACCUAUGAAUUAUUUGUUGCCCUAAAUGAUUUUUGUUUAGUGUCUUGUAAUUCAUAGGCAUAUUGAUUGUGUUUCUUUAUUGUUCCUAGGCAUUUUGGGAUUAUUCUGGGAAGAAGUUGCUUGGGACAACAAAGGCUGAAUGUUCAGUCACGAGUGAAUGGUCUCCUGAUGGGCGAUAUUUCAUGACUGCCACAACCGCACCUAGGCUGCAAGUAGACAAUGGGUAUGUUGCACCUUCAUUACAUUUAACCAUUCUCAGGUCAAUGUUUUUUAGUUAAUAUUAGUAGUCUCUUCCUUUUGUUUUGAAGGAUAAAAAUUUUCCACCACGAUGGGUCUCUGUAUUUUAAGAAAAUGUUCGCUAAGCUGUAUCAGGUAUCUUCACAUUGUUGUUCUUCCUCGUAGCCCUGCAAAUUUAAUUGUUGCCUAAGUUCUUAUUUAGUCUGGCUUACUAAAAAUGCUUUCCUAAUGAGAAGUAGUAAUUAAAUAUUUGACAAAUUGAAGGUCUAGAGCUCUCGCCAUUGUGGGAGCUUGAAAUGAGCUUCUAAGCCUGCAAAGCCAGAGCUCUAGUUUGAGUCUUCUACUUUUGCUUCAUUGAAGCUGGUAAGAAGCAUAUUAACAAGAGCAACUUUUUUCACCAACUCUUCUAUAGAGGCUUCAGUUGAGCCAAACUAGGUGUUUAUUGUUAUUAUGAUGAUUAUUAUCCUUGCAAGGUCAACAUUGUACCUAACAUCAAAGAUGAACUUUUCUGCUGCUGCGUUGAAUCAUGUAGGCUGACUGGAAGCCAGAAGCACCUGAAAGAUUUGGCGAUAUUGCUGAACUGACCAAGUCAGUUAAUGCUAUAAAGAUUGAUGAAAGAAAGAAACAAGGUUAUUUUACUUCUGUAUCAGUGACUUACAUUUGAUCAGUUCCCAGUCGCUGAAGAUGAUUCUAUUUAUGGUUUCAGCUCAAGAUUCGAAGUCCUCGCAAACAUCAAGACAGGCUGCUGCGAGUACUGUCGCAAAACCUUCCGCAUAUCGCCCACCUCAUGCAAAGAAUUCUGCUUCAGUUCAAGAAGAGGUAUUUUUGUUGCCGGAAGCUGAAAAAAAAUAUGCAUGGUUGCUCAGAGUCUAAAAUGUUAUCUGUGGCAGAUAAUAUCAGACUUUGUAAAUUAAAAAAAAAAACAUUUUCCUGAGGGAGUAUUCGUCUUUUCCUGCUGAUUUUUUUUUUAAAAAAAAACAAUCUAGUUCUUAUAAAAUAUAUUAUGUUAACUGAUACUAACACCAUUUUUAUAAAUUGCAGCUUUUCGGGGGACUAGCGCCUUCAGAGUAAGUUUCUUACUCAUACUUUAUUUGUUUAACUUUAUGAAUUUUACUUUUAAAUGCAACUCUUUUGUGGCUACUAAAUACAUCUGUUUAAAUGUAUCAGGGAGAUGAGCAAAAAUGCUUUGAGAAAUAAGAAGAGACGAGAAAAGCAAAAGGAGAAAAAGGCCGCAGAGGCGGGAAGUUAACUAUAGCAUUUUCCAUAUCUGGCGAAAAUCAUAUCUAUACAAUCGACACAAAAAAAAAGAAGAAGAUAACUUAUCGGACAUUUUAUUCUCGAACACUAAGAUCUCUCGAGUUUGGACUCAUAAAACUUAUUUUCACCCCUUUUUCUUUGAGGAAUUGAUGAGGUCGUCUUUCGUCAAUAGAAGUAGCUGAGCAUGACUUUCAUGAAACUUCCUGUGUUAAAAAUGAAGAGCAGUUACUUGGAUCAAUUUGAAGAGUAACUGAAUUUAUUGUUCCUAUGUAUUUGUGUAAUGCGUUUGCGUCCAAUACGGAUCAUGAUUGAAGCACGACAAGUUUCUAGUAUGUGUAAAACCGAUAUUUAGUAUGUGUGAAGCCAAAAUUUGUAUAAACCUCUCUCUCUCUCUCUCUCUCUCUCUCGUUUGUAACAUAUGUCAAUUAUACAAUGACUCUGCUGGGUAGUCACAAAGGCUACAGAUGAGCGUGCAAUCAUGGGCAUUAAUUAAUUUUGUAUACACUUUAAUCCAUCGUCUCUCAUCAACGGCAACUUUCACUAAAAUCUGAGUUUCAUAAAGGGCAAUCUUCGCAACCGGUGAUGCAGAAUACACACUACCUGCUGAUCCCACAUUACUGACAGAAUUAUACAUGGAAUAAAACUAAAUAUUAUAUAAUCUGAAAGAAAAGGGUGAGAUUCUCAACAAUUCUUAAAAGAUGGCGCGAACUAAGCGCGCCUUAAAAGCACCUUCAAAUUGUCGGAGUUAUUUCACGUAUGAACUAUAACAUUUAGCUGAAAAAUAUUCUCUCGCAUAAAAAUAUAAGAACAAACAUUUUCUUCAGCAUUAUAUCAAAACGAAAUUACUGUGUUGCCUCUUAAUUAGAUCAUUCAAUAUAUUCAUGCAUGCCAGAACCCAUAUCAGAACAAAAUUAACCAACUAACGGAAACCACCAUACUUGAUUUUCUUUUUCUCCUUCUUCCGAAUAUUUUAGCUACAUUCGGAUACCUUGUGUUAUUCACAAGACACAAACACCGCAUUCAAAUACAAAGAAUACCAUUUAUAUGAAAAAGUAAAGAAGCACGAAUUACCCACCUUAAGAAUCUCUAUCUUAACAAGAAACUCGUCAAGUGAAGCCAACUAAAACAUUGUCCAAACAUGAUGUUAAUAUGCUGCUGAUACCUCUAUAUGUAAAACUAAUAGAUGAAACUUCAAGAUUCGGUUUCCUGUCGCCUGGUUUCUUGCCGCAUGUAAUCCUGGUAUAUAGACUCCAUGAGACGGGCCAGUUUCCUAGGGUUGUGCCACCACGUCGGCGUUGCGACGAUCGCCCGCUCCAACCAAUCCUCCCUCACCUCUUCCUUCCUCACUAUACUCUCGUAGAACUUUUGCCAUUUGUACAUGGCACGCUUCAACCGCAUGCUGCUCUUGGCGCCGAAGAGAUACUUGAUGUAGUCCCUAGCAAGCCUGGUUAAUUCCUCGCCUCUGAUCAUAUAGAUGUACUGCGACAAAAGAGAAAGUAGAUGGUAAACAGCAGAUUUAUUUAGCAGUACAUGAGCUUUUACAAGUGGUACAGCGGUCAGCAAGAUUGAUUUAGCAUUGGAAAGAAGAAUAGAUGAACAAUCACAUCACUUAAAAAUGAUUAAGACUAAUUAACCCAUUUGAUCAUAGCUACAUACUCUUUCAAUGUAAAUUACCAAAGAUAAUGUUAUACAGCAACUGAAAAUUGAAAUAAAGUAACAAAAAUAUAACUACAAAGUGUAAUUUCUAACUACUCAUUGCAUGCCUGACCAAAUUAUUAAAGCAGUUAGUCACAGCAAUUAUAUCUCGUAAAACCUGUAUUAUUAUAGGGCGCACUUAAUAUUUUACUUCUAUGCAGAAGGGAGGAUAUAUCCGAGGAACUUCUCUUGACCCAUUUAUUAUAGGGUGCACUUAAUAUUUUACUUCUAUCUAGAUUCUAUCUCUGCCACGAAGGAUAAUCCAAACUGGUAAGCUUCAGCCGAUAAGUGAAUAUUGCGUCAAUUGAACAACAAAAAUACGAUUCUUUCUCUUGUGUGUACUUCUGGUUCUUAUUGUCAACUGUUUGACUUCCAUUCUUUUGUAGUUCUCUACCCAGCCAAAGUUUUGCAGGCUAAUGAAAGGGUUAUGUCACAAGGCUACAGCAAAUCCUUAGGCAGCAACAGAGCCAAAGAGUGGUCCCGCUAUCGUUGCAUGCAUGCUUCUUGUCAAGUGUGUCUCUUCAUUACGCACAAUGAAGUUAGAAAACUUAGGUAUCUAACUUGGAAUAUACUUCAACUAAUUAGCUGAGAUCGCCUUACUUAUUCGAUAAAUUUUAUGUAAGAUAAUAGAAUGAGGGAACAAAAGGUAAAUUUUUAGGUGUAGAAUUAUCAGAAUAUUAUGAAUUCAGAAAAAUGCAGAAUGAAAAAACGGAAAGCAAGACAUCAUAUAAUUUACCACAAAUAUGAAGCCAGUGGUAGCCAAAACAACUUGCAGCAGUUCGUCCAAUAUUCCUGCAAAACCCUCAUCUUCUGAACCACCAGAGCCAUCGUUACUAUCACCCCCACCCCCACCACCACCACCACCAGAAGAAUCUCUAUUACCACCAUCCCCACCGUAUUCUCGUUCCCGCAUCUGCUCCCUCAGCAGAUCUUGUACCGACUUCUCACGCUUAAAUCCUCCCAUAGCUUUCUUCAGUGAUUCAAAUGAAAAGGGCUGCAAAGAAAAGAAUGAAAAGUAGAGUCAUCAGAUAGUCAUAGUAAAAGAUAAGUCCUGAGAUUAAGUUCAACAAUUUGUGUUUGCGCAGAGGGGGUUGUUAGGACGGAAAUAAGUAGGUGUAUGGAGGUGCACUUCCUAUUUGAUGUGACUGCUUCCAUUUUACACCGGCAUCAUGCAUUUACUGCACAAGAACCUGUAUUGAGCGUCCAAGCCUACAGUUCAAGAUACUUUGAAUGAUGGAUCAAAUAUACUGUAAUAGAUACAGGAAAUUUCAGCGCAAACUGUGAAGCCACAUAAAAUUCAGAUAGCUCAAUUUCACAAGAAAAUUGAAUUUAAAAACCUGCUUAUAUGAAAAGAUUCAAAACAACGAUAAAUAUGGUAAGAUCAAUCUCCAAUCUGGUCCUUGUCUUUUUAUCUCUCCAAAUGUUUGAAGUCAAUAUUAUGCCCUGCAUUUCUCAGGUAUUUGCAACCAAAAGUUCAAAUUUUUGCCCUACCGAUACGAUGAAAAACUGGAAUCAAGAUACACAAGUCACCAGUAAAUAGACAUUCAUUAAAAAAAAACAAAAUCUAAAUUGCAACUAUUAAUGAUUGGUAGAAAUCAGCUAGAAAAACAAACAAACAAACAAAUCAAAUUGAACAAGAGCAAAACUUGUCCCUUACAUCAUUAUCACUUUCGGAUUUCCCUUUUCCACCAAAUGCGCAUAUAGGAGCAAGUCUUUUAUAUUGAGGUCCAUUAUAGACCAGUCUUGGGUAUGCUUUACUUUGAUGUGAAUUGUGAAGUACUGACAGAAACAAACAUGAGGCUUGCAGCGAGGAAGGCGUAGAUGUUGAGCUGAUUCUUCUAAGCCUCUUGCCCUGUCCAUUCACAACGCAUCCCAAACUUGGCCUGUAAAUAUUGGCCUGAAUGCAAGCCAUGCUUCUCGAUAUCCGAAUAUCAACCGAUUGCUAAUGAAGCAACCUCAAUCUGUAAAUUAGAUUCCAUAGGCAAUGUUUAGCUCCCAGAAAGAAGAAGAACAAGAAAAGCAAUACUCGCUAACUCACUGAGUUGAUUUCAGUACCCAAGGAAAGGUAAAAAAAAUAAUAAUAAUAUCACUCCAAACAUUCCAUAACAUAAGAAUUAUUAUAUUAUAAGCAUUAUGACAAUAUUUGCACAAUCACAAUACUCUCGAAUAUUCCAACAAUUCUUGAGUAGACAUAGUUCACAAAUUGUUGAUCAUCUAAGAUAUUUCUCGGACAUCAACAUUACAGAUAUUAAUCAACAAUAUCAAAGGUAUCAUAGAUGCAAUUAUCUAAUUCGCAUAUCCAAUACAUUACUCAUUACAACAUGAACUAUCCAUUAUAUGGUAACAAAGGCGAGUUAUCGACUUUUUUUAUCUAUGUCGAUCUGCGUUGUCGCUCCGAACGCACCACAUUUUGAAAUAAUGCUAAAACUUCCGAUUAACCCUACCCCCUCAUGCUGUGUUCUAAGAAGCUAAAAUACCAUGUUAACCUGUAACUGUACCACGUACCACAGCUUAAUAUUCCGAUUCAGGUAACAAAUUACACGUUUACUACACUGUAAUUUAGGUGUAUUUUCAUUUAUUACGAUAUGCUAUUCUUUUCCUUUUUUCAAUCAAAGGCGCCGCAAAAGAUGAAACGAUUACAUAAAACUUCGGUACAAUUUACAUACUUCUAAUUCCACAAAUUUAUGUUUCAUCAUCCAAAGCACCGCAUAUUCUGCAAACUCGUCGAAUCUCCGCCAAAAUUUGAACUCGUGGCUACGCGUCCGAGAGCUAACCGGAAACGCGCCGGCAUGAUUGGAGGGUUAGGGUUAGUUUUUAGAGAGAAGGAGAGAUUACCAUGCAAAAGCGUCGAUCGAAGGGAGGUGGGCGCGAGGGCUCGGCGAUGGCAUAAGGAGGGAGAAGGGGACCUCACGAGGCCGUUAAUGGCGGAUUCGGCGGUGGAGGAGCGCCGCCGACGCCGGAGAAGACGAUCGGAGAAGCGAGGAGAGAGAGAGAGAGAGAGAGAGAGAGAGAGAGAGGAGUGGGAGCUUCCUUAGCCUUCUAAUGCGAGCAUAAGAGAAAUUGGAUGAGAAAAAGAAGCCCUAGACCGGGUGUUUUUUUAAAAUUUUUUUAUUUUUUAUUUUUUAAUACUUGGCCCACAAGAAAACUUAGGAACUCUUUGGUUACGUUUUUAUGCAUACUCUUUUUUUUUUUUUUUUUGUUCUAAUUUUUGGCUCAUUUGAUUAUGGAAAACAUUCAUUUUUUUGAAAAAGUUUGUUUUCAAAAUUUAGUAAAAAAAUAAGUAUUUUUUGCUUUUUUGGAUAAAAUAUUCAGAAAAAUAAAAUACUAAUUUUCUAUGAAAUCUAUAAUUUUUUUUUUUCAAAUAAUUUUGAAUUUUGGGGAACGACAUAUUAAGAUAAUAAUUAAUAUAUUUUUCAAAACUUCAAAAACAUCUAAUAUACUCCUGAUUGACCAAUUUGUUCUUUAUUGUUUUAAAUAUGUUCUGUGACAUUUCAAAUGUCUAUAUAUUAAAAGAAGAUAAUUUUAUACAGCUCCCUGUAAACUUACUGAAUAGCAGAUAUAUUAUUAUAAAGUUUAACUUUUCAUAUUUACUUUUGAAAAGCCCUAACAUUUUCAAAUAUACUGCUGCUAUUAGAUAAAUAGACGUUUUACUUAUAAGAAAGAAGAUGAUCAUUGAAAAUUUUUUGGAGGACAUUUUUGCAAAAUUCUAAAAGUUGAGACUUUCGAAGAGCAUAUUUGUAAAGGCAAAAUUAUUAUUUCACUUUUUUUUUUGUUAAAAAUUAAACAGUGAUCUAAUGAUAACAAGUCAGACGAACAGAUAUAAAAUUAUAAGCUUUAGAUGUAUUUAUUGAUAUAAAAUUAUAUUUUUCUUAUUAGAUCCACAGUGCAUCAAGGACACUAGUAGCCACCAUCAAAUACUGUAUUAAGCUGAUCACUUGAUCACACCCGUAUUUUAUCUAAACAUAUACUUAAACUCUCUCUCUCUCUCUCUCUCUCUCUAUCUCUCUCUCUCUUAUUCUCUUUCUCUCGUGUAAUUAAUGUCCGGGGCCUUUCGGGCUCGGACCGGAAGCUAACCGUGCGAACCAGCAAGCCAUUGUCGACCGCGCCCUGCGAUAAAUAUUUUUAUUUUCCAAAGAACUCACGCCGUCAAAGAGCUUGCCCGUCUCAGACAUUCGUCUCGCAGCGUCAAUUUCGACGAUGACCGCAAAGAUAUAAGUCAUGCAGAUCAAGAGGAACAAAAGGAUCGUCGAACACCUGGGAGGCAUACCGAAAGAGGUUUACGAUCUUGAUCUUGAUCUUGAUCUUGAUCUUGAUCUUCUUCUUCUUCUUCUUCUUCUCACUUUGAUGUAUUGUUAUUUGGUGUGGUGAGUGCAUACAUUCAUAACUAUGAAGCUUCAAGGAGUGGUUAUUUAUAGGGUGGUAGCUAACUUCUUAAUUAGUUAGCCUUGAACUAAGAUUAUGAUGUGAUUGGAAAAAGCCUUUCUUAUUGGUGAAGGAUUGAGAGUAACAUAAAUUACCUAGAAAACAAUGUUGGCUCAUUUUUCCAAGAGUAGAAACUAGAAAUAGUUUAUUGUUUAAUUAAAAACCUUUUCUUUUUAAUCCUACUUAUUAAAAGGGUCCCGUUACAUACAAAAUAGAGUCGGGGCAAAACGUAUAGAAAAAAUAUAUUUUCCCAGUAAAUUAUACUAUACUCUUAUGAGUAUAGAGCUUUUCGUACUCAUAAAUCGUUUUCGAUAAUAGAAAUUCCGAAUCGAUGAUCCACUUCGUCAAAUAUGAUCUAGAUUAUUUAAAAUUUAUAAAAAAUAAAUUUCGUAAUUUUUCAAAGUCCCAAUAAAGUCCAUCAAGUGGGUAUAAAAUGAAUGGUCAAAAUCGAUCGAUGUCCUAAAAAUAAAUAAUUAGAUUCUUCAAUUUAAGAUCGGAGUUAUUGAUUUUUAUCUAGAUAGUGAAUAGAAUUUUCUAUCAAAAAUUCUACUGAUUCCGAUUCUUUUACAUCGUUAAACUAGUAACUAUCCCGUACCGAUCGUUAAAAAUUGUCAAUUUUUUUUUUUAUCGUAAGAUAAAUAAUGUCAAAAAAUUAAAAAAAUUGAUUUUUAGAAAUUUUAAAUGCUCUAUAUAAUUUUUAACUGUAUGGAUCGUUGAUUCGGAAGCUCUAUCAUCGAAAACGACUUAUAAGUACGAGAAAAAUCGUACUUAUAAAAGUAUAGUAGCCAGACUCAUUAUUAUAUUACAUAUGUAUACAAAUGCAAUAUUUUUUUCAUCGUGCUUUCUCACCACACCUAUUGCAAUCUUCCUUCGAUUACAAAAAGAGUCUAAAAAUGAUAUUGUUGGAGAUGUUUGUAGUUAAAAAAUACAGCAGUUACAAUUAUAUGCAUUUUGUUCGAAUUGGAUGUAGUUAAAAAAGGGCCGGAGAUAUACUCGUGUUUAUAAAUACUCACUAUAACUACUACAGUUAAAAUAGUGACCAAUUUGGAUGUAGUCUAAAUUACUACAAUUGAGAUUUCUUGUGCAGUUUCAAAUAUAACAUAAUCGCAGAACUUGCAAAAUUACUACACAAAUCAAAUACUGAAGCACAAACUUGUGAAAAUUAAAACUAUAAAUGAAAUUAGAGUAGAAUUGAGGCCCUUCAAUUUUUACUUUUUUUUUUGGGGAAAACUUCAAAAAAACCCCUGUGGUUUCGUACUUUCUCACUUCAGUAUCCUGUGGUUUAAAGUGUAUCAAUUUUCUCCCAUGUGGUUUCGUUUUUCUCUUUUUAGUAUCAAUUUUAUUAUUAUUAUUUUUAAAUCAGUGAUAAAGUUAAAAUUAAAGGGUACUAAAGUAGAUAUUCGAUAAAUCUAAAUAGGCAUCUUAAGUUUUUUGUAUAUAAUUUAACGAAAUAUUAAGGAAAAAGCAGCCGAAAAGAUAAAAACAAAAUAAUGUAGGAGCAAAUUAAUACACUUUAAAUUAUAAAAUAUUAAAAUAAGAAAAUGCGAAACUAUAGGAGAAUUUUUAAAGUUUUUCUUUUUUUAAUUUGGGAGAAGAACAAGCAAGCACUCUAGAUACACUAUUUUGUCCUAAGGAUUGUCAUGUCAUGAUAUAAUAAUAUAGGAAAAAUAUAUUCAAGUACCAAUCUAGCGAACUUCUAUAAAUAUGUUGAUAAUUAACAAGUACCAAAAUUUACUCCUAUGAUCUUUUAAUUUAUGCCUAGGUAUGAUCCAUCAAUUGCAUCAAUUCCGCAGCAAAAUAUGCUCAGGCAUGCAUAAACAAACAAAGAUAAAAUGAAGGGAAAACUUCGAAACCCCCUGUGGUUUCGUAGUUUUUCACUUUGCCCCCCUGUGGUUUAAAAUGUAUCAAAUUGCUCCCAUGUGGUUUUAUUUUUAUCUUUUCGGUAGCUUUUUUAUUAAUAUUUCAUUAAAUUUUAUAUAAAAAACUUCAUAUACCCAUCUAGAUUUAUCAAAUAUUCACUUUAGUACCAUUUAAUUUUAAUUUUAUCACUGAUUUAAGAAAAAAAAUAAUGAAAUUAAUAAGAAAAAGAUAAAAAAGAAAUCACAGGAGGACUAAUUGAUACAUUUUAAACUACAGGAGGACAAAGUGAGAAACUACGAAACCACAAGGAGAGUUUUUGAAGUUUUUCCUAAAAUAAAUAUGGCUAAUAUAUAAAUAACCUCGCUCAAUAUAUUGCAUGUUACAUUUUAUUUUCUAAAUAUAAAAAUAUGUACUUAACUUCUCUUAAAAAAUAAAAAUAUCUUAUCAAAUUAUGUGUUAAAUAAAAUAAUAAAAUGACCAAAUAUGUUUCUGAUUUUAUUUUAAUUGUUUAUCAAAUUAUACUGCUAACUAGUAACGAGGUAAGUUUCUAGGUUGAGCUUAAUAUAUUGAAAGGGAUAAAAGUACACUUUAACCGAUAAAUAAAGUCCUUUUAAACUUUUAAAUAUUUUUGGUCAAAUAUUACAGAAACCUACUUUUGCCACCUCUAAAGUCUAGAAUUAUAUUUCUCUACAUAUCUCUACGACUCCCCCCACAAACGAAAAAAUUUAGAAUAUAUCAGUUAUAUUGCUAAUAUGGCGUCUCCAACCAAUAGAAUUAUCUCUCUCGAUUCACCCGUCUCAUCAUAGUUAAUAAAAAAAUAUUCUUAUUAUACUUUUUACUAAAAAAAAAGAUAUGAUCAAUUUGUUACUGGUGAUACAGCGCAAGUGUGAUACUACAGACUUCCUCUCCACAAACGCCGAACACGAAGGCGGAACUCGCGAGCGUGCAGACUGUUCAUGAAGUUGGAGUUUGCAGCUUAUUCAUUCGCCUGCCAGCUGUCUAAAUUUCAAGGAGGUGCGAGUUUCAAGCAUGUUUGGAUUGAAAUUUUUUNAUUUUUUUUUUUUGAGAAAUAGGUAGCACGCUACCCGCUUCGUUUAUUUCAUUUAGAAAUAAACUUAGCUAGAAAUGUGAAUCAACUAGGAUUCGAACUUGGGUUUCAGGUACCAACCAUCGAGCCUUUUGCCACUUGCUCUAGGGACGGUCGGUGAUUGGAAAAAUUUUAAGAUGGGAAAAUCGAGUUUUAAUCAAUGUUUUAGAAACUGAAUGAAAAUGCAUUCCGAGAAAUGUUACUGAUUCAAGAGUCUCGCUCGUCCAACUAGUAAGUCAACCACUCGUUGAAUCAGCGACGUCAAUAUGAUAUUAUAAAUAUUUAUUUUUAGGCUGAAUUUAGCGUAUUUGGAGUAUUUAAAAAUUAAUUUUUUUAUUUUUUCGCUAUCAUUUACUUAGUGAUUGAAAAGAUUUAACAUUAAUGGUUAAAUUUUUUUUUACAGGAAGGGAUGAUACAUCACAAUUUUUUUAUCAAUGAUAUUAAUCUUGCUGUAUAUUAUUGUUAUUAUUAUUAUUAUUAUUUUAAGCAGGUGAAUUUUAAUAUAACGUGAUAAAAAAAGACCUGAUUGGUUUGAUUAAAAUCAGACUGGUUCAUCGGUUCGAUGAUUGACCAACUAGUUCGAAUGAUUCAAAAUAAUUUUUUGAUUUAUUCAGUUCGAAGAGUUGAACUAAGCCACUUUAUAGAAUGGAUCAUGGUCGGACUGAACGUCCCAACUUGUUCGAUCUGAUUUUUAAAUUAUUAAUUUUAGUGUAAGUCAAAACUUUCAUUGUUUGUUUUCAUGGAAGUAGGACAAAUAAUGAAACUAUAAUUUCACCAAUCUCUUAAUUAAUUUGAUGUAAGAUGAUUUACUGUGAGUGGAGACGAGUCAAGUUACUUCAUAACUAAAAAUUAAUAAAAGAAAAUCCAUAAUAGUAAUCCACCACAGAAGUUAUCAACAUUACGUGAAGCAAAGCGAAACUAAUUACAACUGCAAAAUAAAUUUUUCUGUAGUAAUUACCAGACAAACUAUGUCAACCAUAGAAAUAUCAUAAGAAAUAGAGAUGAACUCAAAAACUGUUAAAAGGUCGGAGAUUUAGGAUUACCUCUGGUACCACUGUAUCUAUAAAAGAUUGGUCGAGUAAGAAAAGCACUAAACUUUAGUGUUAGGGUUAAUUGCAUAUACGCCUCUACAAACAUAAUGAAUUACAGAUAUAUUCCUGCAAAGCUUAACUUUCAUAAGUUAUUCCUUCAAGAGUCCUAAUGUAUUCAGAUAUGUCCCUCUGGUUUAGAUCCGUCGGAGAGCUGUUUAUCGUAAAAUGAUAGUUUUGCCCUCACAAAUAUGUCCAUCCAAAAGCUCCAGCUGGUAUUUUGCAGAAACGUCCUGACAAAUAUGUCCCUUUUCCUCUUUCUCUUGCUUCAUGGGUUGCGGGCGCGGGCGACGGCGGCGACGUCACGGAGCCUGUUGGAGUUACGGCCGAUAAUGACAAGGGUGAGCCCUGCUGCAGCGAGACGGAAGGCGAAGGUGUGGCCAACGCCAGGGAGGGUGCGGGAGUCGGCGAUGACGAGGUGGCCUUGGUGCGGGCGAGGGCGCGGAGGGCGCCGGUCGACGGGGACAAUGAGGCAGCAAUGACGAUCUAGCGUUUGGAGCGAAAGGUGGUGUAGUGAUCGGAACCGCAGUGGGGCCGGAUGGGCGGGACGGACGAGCGGAAGGAGGCAACCUCACCGCGCUCCACACCCUCAGCCUCCGCUUCAACACCCUCUUCGGCGCUCUCCCCAGUGACCUCGCUACGCUCUCGAAGCUCCGCAACCUCUACCUCCAGCGCAGCCGCCUCUCGGGCGAGAUCCCCGCCGUGAUCUUCGCCCUCCCCAAGCUCGUGCACCACAACCUCGCCAGAAACAACUUCUCCGGCGAGAUCUCCACGGCGUUCAACAACCUCACCCGCCUCGGCACCCUCUACCUCGAGGAGAACCAGCUCUCGGCCCAGUUGAUCCUGGGGUAGGGGGCGCAGCUGCCGGCGGUUCGCGAAGCUGAGCGGGUCUUGUCGAGGCCUGCCGGAGAAAUUCGGUCUUCCUUCUCCACCGCGAUCGCAAGCCGCAUCUCCUCCCUCGCCGGCGACAACGACGACCAUUUUAAGAAGCAGAAGAGGAAGAUGAAGAGGAAGAAUGGUAAAAUUAUCGAUUCACCUUAUUAAUUAAUUAUGAUUAAGUAUUUUAACUAUGGUUAAUGAAAUUUUUCUUACGGACCCUAACGACAGGGACAUAUCUGAAUACAUUAGGGGCGCGUUUGUUUCGAAAUCGGAAUCAGAAUCGGAAUCGGAAUUAAAAUAAGCUAGAAUCGGGAUAGGAAUGACUCAUUACUUAAUUCUAUUUGGUUCAUUAUCUGCAUCGGAAUCUAUCUGAAUUGGAAUCGGAAUAAAUCAUUCGUACUGUUGAUGUUUGGUUCAGGUAGAUAUAAAAAAAGUAAUCAAAUUAAUAUAUUAACUUUUUCUUUAUAAUAUAUUAAUUUAAAUUUAAAUUGAAAAUUAAAUAUUAAAAAUUUAUAUCAAAAUUUUGAAAUAAUGUCAAAAUUUUAAAUCUAUUUUUUUUAAAAAAAAUUAAACUUUGAAGUUGAGUGGAUAAUUCAAAAUAUAAAACUAAAUUUCGAUUUAUUCAAAUUCAAACUUAAAAUUAUAAUUUUAAUUUUAAUUUGAAUCCAUAAAUUUAAUUUAAGUUUUAAAUAAAAUUUGAAUAAAACUUUAUAUAAAUUAAAAUUUAAUUUAAAUUCAAAUUUAUAAGUUAGAUUCAAAAUACUUAAUUAAAUUUUAAUUUAAAUUCAAAUUAAAUUUUAAAUUAUAUUUAAUUUCUAAAUUUAAACUCAUAUUUUAAUUAAAAAAAUUAAAAAAUAAAUUUAAUCCGAAUAAAUAUUCAUUCCGUCCGGAUUCAACUUUCAAUCCGGCUUAGGAGAUCGGAUUGGAAAAAGAAAUGAUUGGAAGAUUCCCAUUCCACUUGGGAAUUAGAAUCAAAAUGAGACUCUCGCAUACCAAAUAUUCACAAACAGAUUUACCCAUUCCGAUUCCGAUUCGUGAAAAAAAAUGAACCAAACUAGCCCUAGGACUUUUGCAGGGAUAACUUAUAAAAGUUGAGCUUUACAGGAAUGUAUCUGCAAUUCAUCAUGUUUGUAGAAACGUAUAUGCAAUUAACCCGUCGGUUAAUACCCAUCACUAUUCACUAAGAAGGGAAACAAAAUUGAGGAGUCUUUUUCAAAUUCUCUUAUUAUUGAGGGGCCUCCGUGCAUUUUUACCUGCGUACGACACCCUCUUCAUCUCCUCAUGUUGUCUCUCACCGCGCCCCCAAAAACCCUCCAAACCCUCAACAAUGGCGACCGUCUCCCUCC
rnacentral:lncRNA from 1 species